rnacentral:lncRNA from 1 species
AGUGCCUUAUUUAUAUACUUUACACCUUUACUCAUCUUCCCUCGUACCCUUCUUUUCUUUUUACUAUUCAUGAACUCUCCAUUCCCAAGCCUCCACGAACUCUCACUCCAUCCGUAUCCAUCUCCAAUCAAACAACUCUUCCCCAUCAAUUUCAAUCGAUGGCACGCUUGUCUCACCUAUCCAAUCGGCAAAGGGAUGACGACCGAGAAAUUGCAAUGAUAAAAGAGUAUCGAUGACCCUCUGGCCCUCUCAUCCAUUUCUUAUUCUCCUCUUCCUCCUCUUUUUUAUGUUUGUUCAUAUUGUUCUUGAGGAAAUUAUUUUAUGUUUCUUAUUAUAUAUUGAAUGUGUUAAAUAUUUUUUUUUUCUUCUUAAUCUGAUGAUGAUAUUUGCUGUUGAGAGUUUUUUCUUGUAAAAUUUGUUAUUGCUAAUUUAAAAUUGUAGAUUAAUUAAAUUUAUUAGUAUUAGAUUAGUUUAAUAAUUUGAAUUGGAAUUCAUUGAUUUAAUUUAGAAUUAUUUAUUAUUAGAACUCCAAUAAUUUAUGUGGGUUGUUGAUCUUUUGAUAUAAAAAAUUAUGAUUUUAUCUUUCGUAGAUUUCGGAUUCUAAGGUAGAAGAUAGCCAUUCUCUAAAAUUAACGGUUUGUUUUCGAAUUGAAAUUGAAUCAAAUAAAAACUAAUUAGGUUUGAUUUGAUAAAUCUCUAUAUCGAUUUGAUUUCGGUUGUCAUUUUUUUAUUAAAUUAGUUUUGUAAUUUUUUAUUUCGAUUCGAUUACUUCUAAACAUGCAAAAUCACACAAAACACUAGUUUAACAUGAUUAAAAUCUUUGACGGGUAUUAAAUCUGUCAAUUACAAUUGAUUCUCCUUUUUAAUUCAAUUAUUCUUAUAGAGGGGUGAAUAAGUGUCAAUCUAAUAGAAAUCUUAAAUUUAUUUAUUUAAAAGUCAGGUGAUAUAAAUGUGAUAAAAUAAUGAGACAAAUAAUUAAUUAAAAGUUCAACUAAAAAUAAUUAAAGUUAAGAGGUUUAUCCGUUGAUAAUUGAUUUAAAAAAUAAUUCACUUAAUUUUCUAUUAUUUGAUUAUAGUUGUAAUAUCCGGCUAGACUCCGGUAUCGGAAUUCCUACCGUCCGGUGGAAUCUCGGAUGUCGGAGACCUCUAGAAGGGUAAACUCAUGUUUUCAUGAAAUGUUUUAAUGUUUUUGAUGAUUUUAAGUAAAGAGGAAAUGAGUUUUUGAAUAAAAACAACCUUGGAGGAAAACUCAGGUUCGGCCGCCGAACAUGCAUGCGUUGCGGGUGUGCUUUAGGCCCCCGAAAGUAUAAGUGAGGGAAGUCCAGGUUCGGCCGCCGAACCUCAAGUUCGGCCGCCGAACAUGGCAUGCAUGCGGAGGCACAUUCGGCCCCCGAACGUGGCCUGGACAGCCACUAUAAAAGGGUCUCUUAGCCGAAAACGGGCGAGCUUUUUCCCCAUUUUCGGCCAAGGUGAGCUCUCCGUUGUCCCUCACCGAUCUUUGAUGUUUUUCCUCUAGAUGUUUCAAGUUUUUCAUUUGUUUUAACUUUGUUUUGAAGAUUUGAGCUUUUGAGCAAAGUUUUGGAGCUUUGAGGUUCAAGAACUCAAAUCUCUCCCAACUCCAAGUUUGGUCGCCUCUACUCUCGAUCUUCAAGAGGUAAGAGUCGAUCUCUAGCUUAUAUUAUGUUUUAAGUAAGUUUUAUGAAGUUCAUGGGGUAGAAAAUGCAUGAGUAAGCUUAUGUUGAGUUUAUGGGUUUUGAUGAGUUUUUUAGCAAUGUGGCUUGUAAUGUGUGUUUGAUGUGUUGUAGUUGGGGUUUAAGGUAGUUUGAGACCCCUAGGAGCUUGUAUGCAUGUUUUGGUUGAGCUAAAUGCAUGAUGGUUUGAGUUUGGAGGCAUUUGUGCAUGUUUGAACCAAGUUUCUGCCCUUUGGGAGAAACCAGGUUCGGCAGCCGAAGGGACUUUCGGCCGUCGAACCCUCUUGUGGAGGCAGCCUUCGGCUGCCGAAGCUUGCCCCCGAAAGGAGACUUUCGUCUCUGUCUGGGAGUUUCGGCCGCCGAAAGUGCCGCCGAACAUGCAUAAAUUUCGCCUCUGUCUGGGAGUUUCGGCCGCCGAAGGUGCCGCUGAACCUGCCUGACUUUCGGCUCUGGAGGGACUUUCGGCCGCCGAACCUGCCGCUGAAAGUGCCAUGUCCAGCCUUUCUUUGCAUGUUCUUGCAUAGAUGUUUUGUGAUGUUUUAGGGGGGUUUUUGUGGGAUGUUUUUAGAGUUAUGUUCUAGUUGUUUGGUCCCUCAUUUGAGUCCACCUGUGUAGGUUCGGACCCGAGGAAACGAGGACCCCAGCAGUGAGUCGGUUUCUUCGGUCAGUGUCAGAGCUAGCCAGAGGUGAGUGGAAUAACUCUUAUGCUCUUAAGUAAAUAAAUCAGUUUUGAGCAUGUUCAUGCAUCACGGAUGCCAUGUGAUAUUUUAGGUUGUUUGCAUUAGAAAUCACGAAUAUGUUGCAUUGCAUAAUAUGUUGUUGAUGUGGAUGAAUGUUGAAUGAUCCAUUAGCCCUCAUAUGUUAUGACAUGAUGAUAUGGUAUGGAAGUCCAGGUGUGGCCUGCACUACGCCCCUGGCACUAUGUAAGAGAAAGACCGGACGUGGCCUGCACUACGCCCCCAGCACCAUGGAUUAUGUAUGUUAUGCUAUGUAUAAGAGAAAGACCAGGUGAGGCCUGCACUACGCCCCUGGCAUGAUUGGAAUAUGUAGAGGGCUAAAUGGUGACAAGUUCAUCCUUGUUAUGAUUAGUUGUGAUGUGAUGCAUUCCAUGAUAGCAUGUGUUUUAAAUGCUUUAUGAUUCUGCUCACUGGGCUCUAGUAGCUCACCCCUCUCCCAAAUUCCCCAGGUUUGCAGGUACGGGUUAGACAGAGAAGUCAAGAAGAGCAACGAAGUCUUAUGUAUGUAAUAGUUAGAAUGUGGACAUGACAGAUUGUAUAAUGAUGUAUAAACAUGUAAUGUAACGAUAUUAAGGUUAGAAGUGUGCUUGACCAUAGUAUAUUGUAAUCACUUUUUGAUACAUGAUCUUAAUGUUUAUUGAUGACUAUGUUUAGCCAACUCAACACUUGUUAUGCCACCCAUUGGGGGCAUUGAUGAGAUCCCACAGAGGGGUCAAGUUUAUGAUUAUGACCAUGUUCAGUGCAUGCACAGGUUGAGUUUGGUGUAUGAUAAAAUGUAUGAAAGAAAAGUUUUAAAUUUUUAUGUAUGAUUGUUGAUCAUGUAUGGGAUUAAACAGGUUUACAGGUUACAUGUCAGGCUUGCUACGGGUCCCGGCGGCCUUAAUCCGAUCUGGAUCCUAGCGCCGGUAGCGGUCCGAUUUUCGGGUCGUUACAAUAGUAUUCAAAUAAGCGAAUUUCACUAAUUUUUUCUUAAAAUUAAAUUAAUUUACAAAGUGCUAAAUUAAUUCUUAAUUAAUUAACAAUCUCAAUAAGCAUGUAGAUUAAAUUAAUUAAUUGUAUUAAGAAAAGGAGAAGCCAAGCUUAAUUAACAAUUGUAUUUCUUAACAUAAAUAGAUAUAUUAAUUGCUACUUGUAUUAAUCAAAUUAGACAAUUACAUAUUUAUGUCAGUUAAUUAGCAAUAUGUUAUUUAAUUAAGAUAUUCAAUAGAUCUCUUGAAUUAUUAAGAAGACAACAAUGGAUGUAUUAUUUCUCAAAAAUAGAAAAAGAGUGAAAACAAAAAUUAACAUGAACAUAAAAUGAUAUUAGAUCUCACAACUUGAUAAAAUCUCAACUAGAUUAACCUUUAACUGAAAAAGAGAAAUUAACUACUAAAUACCAUUACAAAAAUAUAGAAAAGUAAAAAAGAAAAAAAUCUGGUUCAGCUUAAACUGUUGAAGAAAUUGAGAGAAGAAGGGAAAGAAAAAUGAGGAGAUAUGUGCUGAAUGAAGAGAUGAUAUUUUACUUCUAAAACAACCCUUAUAUAGACUUUUUCCCAACCAAAUGAUAAAAGAAAUAUUCAAAUUUAAAAAGGAAGAAAAUAAAUCAAUAAAUCUUUCCACUAUUGUUAUCAUAAUCACUUAUCUGAUCGUAUUUAUAACUAUUUGAAAUAAUUUGAAUUCUAUACAGCUGUCAAAAUUGAAACUCUAUUAUCUGUCCGUCGAGUUUUGGGUCACAGUAUUGGAUAAGGUAGAACUUGUUAGUCUAAAACAGUUUUAAAAUAGUCUCUACUGAUUUCUUUUAACACAUUCAGUUCCAAGCCUCUCCAAAAUGAAAAUACAAGUAAAAAUUCAUUUUUUACUAUUAAGAACAUAAUAAAAUCAUGGAAAUUAAUAUGAAAAAAAGUAGUGAGUUUGACAAUUUAAUACGGAUCUAAUAGGGCAAAUUUUCAACACUGGUGCAGAAAAACCUUAUAUCAUUCAAAUUGGAGUUCAAAAUCAUAUUCAUAUAAUCCAAAUACAUUUGGGGUGCUUCAAUUCAUAUGGGCAGAUUUGGUGCAACACUUGCAAUUAUGGGUUUAGGGAGACUAAUCAAGCUUAUGGGCCAAAACUGCACAAAGGGAAGGCUAAAGUGAAGAUUAAGAAAGACUUUUGUGAAGAUUCGGUUUUAUCAUGAUGGACUUGCUAUAUUUUAUUAUUUAAACACUUAUUUUAUUUUGGCUUUAUUUGGGCUUGUUGGCUAUAUUUUAUCUUUUAAGUUUUAGAGUGUUGGGUCAUGUCUUGAGCUUAUGUUUUAUAAUUUAUGAGUUUGAUGUGUUAUUUUAGUGCAUGAUUAGACUUAGGCCUUGUGUGUGGUUCGGUCAGGUCUAAGAAAAGUGCCUUAAAAUUUUAUUUGUUUUCUCUUUAUUAUAUAAGGAUAAGAAACACUUGUAACAUAGAACAUUUAAAUCAAAGUUUUCGAAAUUGCAUCAAGAAUUUUGGCUAACUUAUCAACUAUUCGUUAUGGCGUUGGUCAGAUUCUCAUAUAAAUCCUUCAAUCAUUGAUGUUUUAGCUUCUCUAAAUAUGGGGUGUCAUAGGAGGUGGGUUUAUCAAAUUUUUGGAUUAUAUAUCUACACAUGCAUGUGGGUUUGAGACUUGAGCUAUAGAAUUCCAUAUCAGUUGGUAUCAGAGCACGGUGAUAGAUAAAUUUCUAUUUAUUUAUAUUUAUUUUUUUCACAAGUUUUUUUUCUACCUAUCUUAUUUUUUUAUUUCAGUUUAUUUUAUAUUUUCUCUUAAAGAAAAUAAAGAAAAAAUUUUCAAUUAUAUUUAUGUAAAAACAAGAAGAAAAGAAUUUUUAUUUCAGUUGUGUGAGAUUUUUUUUUUCUAAAAAAGUGAGAUAAAAAAAAGAAAAGUGAAAAAAAAAAUAUCGUUUCAAUUAUUUGAUUUAAAAAGAAAAAAAGAUGAGAGAAAUCAAAGUUUAGUGCUUCAUUUGCAAAAUGUCAUACUGAAUUCAAAGAGGAUUCCAUAUAUAUCGAUUCUUUUAUUUUCAUUAUGGUUGAAAAUUUGAGGAUGAAUAUUUUCGAAGACGAUAAUGAUACGAGUAAGGAAACGACACGAUAUUUUAAAAAUUUAAAAUAGAAAACUUCAAAUCAUGAAAAAUCAAGUUAUCAUCGCUUAAUUCAAGGUUUACAAGAUAAGAAAUAUAUUUGGGAAGCAUGGGAGAAUAAGAAAACAAGUAACGCUCUCUUCAAUACAUGUGGAUGUGCAAUACAAUUUUAAAUCGCGUAAUAAAUGUAUGGCCAAAUUGAACUUAGAUCAAUUUUACUAUUUUGGUAUUUUAGUAUUUUGUGGGAUUUAUUUUAAUUAAUUUGGCCUAUGUUAGAAGCUAAAUUCGUGCAGCCCAUUUAGGAAGGAAAUUUCUUCAAGACAAUUUAGGAAAAUGAUCUUUAUGUAAUUUAGGUUUGACUAUUUGACUAAAUAUCCUCCCUAUAUUGUAAUUACACUUUCGUACAUUAGAAUUAGGGUUUGAAAACUAUAAAAACACCCUUAAGGUGGCAACCACAAGGAGCCAAUGAAUAAAGAUGAUGUUAUGAACAAUAUUUUGGUUCUUCUCCAUUAUUUAGUAACUUAUCAAGGUUCAACCUUGUGGUGUUCUAAUAUGGAUCUCCUCCAUACUUAGUUAACUUAUCAAGAAUUUCUUGUAGUGUUCUCUAGUUGGAAUUGCUUGAUUAUCUAUAUUUCUAAUCACAUUGGUUGGUUAAGGGUGUAGCAAGUUUCGCUCUAUAAUCUUCAUUUCUAAUCACAUUGGUUGAUUAGGGGUGUAGUAUAGCAACCUUUUGAAAGAUAUAUCUUUGCAUUGUUCUUUGUCAAGUUAUGUGACGGGAUUUUUUAUCACAUGUUGAUCCUGAGUUCCACAUCAGUUGGCAUCAGAACCAAAGUGGGGUAAAUUCUGAUUUAUCUUAAGUUCUAGGGUUUUUUUGAGUUUUUCUUUCUUCUUUCUAGUUGAAUUCAAUGAAGAUUCAUUGUGUCCAUAGCUGCAUUUUUUUAUUAUUUGAAUUAUUACCUAAUCUCAUUUUUGGAAGAUAAAUUUAAAAUUAAAAAAAAAUUCCAAGGAUUACUCUUAUUUGGCUAAAAAUCGUCUUUGCCUUAUUUAUCUUGAUCUUAGCCGAAAUUGUGAUAUGCUUCCUAUUUUAUAUAUAUAUUUUUAUCUUUCUCAAUUUAUGGCUGAAAUUUAUGGGAAUCAAUUUGAAUUUUGAAUUGGUUUGAAUUCAGAUUAAGAGACAAAAUAAAUUUUGUAUAUUUUCUAAAGUGCAUAUUUAAGAUAACUGCAUCUAAAUUAAUUUGGCAUCAAAUCCUUCUUUUAAGACCAGAAAUUUGUCCAUAAUGCUGAAGUUGAGUAAAAAUAUAUAUAUUUUUUUCUGAUUCUAUUUGUGAGGUUUUGAUACUUGCCUUUUAGGGUAGAUUUAAAUAGAUCCCUAUUGAAUUUGUUUUGAUGUGAAUUAAAUUUAAACUUUUUUUCCAAAUUCGUUUCUAUUUGAAUUCUAAGUUUCUGUUUUUUGGUUUAAACUUGCUUUUGCUUUCUUGACACUGCUAGAGUAUUGUUUGCUUAUGUUUAUACUCUAGGUAAUAAUUUUCAAAUAGCACAAAAUCUUGUUCGUGUGUUACUUUUCAAAUUAUCAGUGUCUUCUUUCUAGUUUUUGCGUGCUUCCUUCUUUAGCUUUUCUUCUUUAUUUCUUUAAAUGCACCUUAUCGUUGGUGGGUUGACCUUAAUUUCUGAAGUGCAAUUGAAAAAUAAGCAAAAGAGUGGUAAGAGUGCAAACACUUGAGUGCUUUUAUUUCUAAUAUCAUAUUUGCUAGUCCUCUUUAUUCUUUGUUGAUUUAAGGCAAAAUGAGUAAAGACAAGAAUGUGAUGGAUACUAAUGAAAGUGAAUUGGACAUAGCUAGUGAUUAUAAGCUCUUCAAAAAGUCAAUUGGUGGUGAGUUUAAAAGGCUCUAUAGGAAUCUUAAAAGGUUGACUGAAAUUAUGGAGAGUUUAAAACUCUUACAGACUUCCACUUUUACAAGGAUACCUCAAAGAACUCUUAAUUCUAAUAGGCUUCAAGUCUGAGAUGAAGAGUUGAUAUGCCAGAGUUUCAUCCCUUCACACAAUUAUAGAGAUUUGAACAACAGGUUGGCAAGAUUAGUGUAAGGAGGGAAAAUAAAGAAACAAAAUGAGAAAGAAGAGGCUAAAGUUCCAAUCUCAACUUCCAUAGAGAUUGAAAUUGAAAAGUUAUAAUGCAUGAAGUUAAUGUAGUUAUUGCUGAAAAUUCCAUCAAUGAGUUUAUAAAGGAGGUUGUGAAUGAUGGUGGACAUAAGGAGGACAUGAUUGAUGAGGUGGGAGAGACAAAUGGGGUUGUUUUGGAAGUUAUAGAGGAGAAUGGGUCACAUCUAGGGGUGAGCAAUAUUCGGUUCAAACUGAAAAAACCGACCGAAUCGAAUUAAUUUGAAAUUUUGAUUCAGUUUUUUAUUCAUUUCGGUUCGGUUCGGUUCGGUUUUUAAUUUUAAAAAUUUUGGUUAUUUUGGUUCAGUUCGAUUUUGAUCAGAAAAAAAUCAAAAAAAUCGAACUAAACUGAUUUAGUGAUAAUAAUAUGUUAUUUUCAAUAAUAUAGAAAAAUUAAAUCAUAUUAAGAUUAAAAUAUUUUAAUUAAAUUUUAAAAUAUUAAAAAUAAAGUGUAAAAAAUAAAAAAUUUAUUAAAAAUCGAAACCAAUCAAACCGAAUCGAACCGAACCGAAUCAUAUCGGUUUGAUUCGAUUCAAUUUCUGAUCAAAAUCAAUUUGGUUCGGUUUUUAUAAAUACUAAAAUUUUAGUUUUCGGUUUAUUCGGUUCGAUUCGGUUUUGAACCGAGCCGACCGAAUGCUCACCUCUAGUCACAUCCAGAGGAUCUUUCUAUGACUAAUAUUAUUAUGCCUAGUUGAUUUGUUCUUGAUGUGCAGAUCGUUGAUGAAAACAUCCAUGACGAAAGUUUCAUGUUAUUUUCACCCAUUCAAGAGGAGACAUUUAAAGAUGCAUUGUUUUCUAAAGUUUCCAUUCCUGACAUGAACAUGAGCAAGAUUCGAGGACGAAUCUUUUCUAAAGAAGGGAAUGAUACGAAUCUAAUAGGGUAAAUUACCAACGUUGGUGUAGAGCAACCUUAUAUCAUUCAAAUGGGAGUUCAAUAUGAUCCAAAUAUACUUGGGAGGUGCUUCAAUUCAUAUGGGGUAGAUUUACCGCAACACUUGCAAUUGUAGAUUUAGAGAGACUAAUUAAGCAUAUGGGCAAUUAUGGGUUUAGAGAGACUAAUUAAGCAUAUGGACCAAAUCUACAUAAAUGGAAGUCUAAAGUGAAGAUCAAUUUUUGUGAAGAUUCAACUUUAUUAUGAUGGGCUUGCUAUGUUUUAUUAUUUAAACACUUAAUUUAUUUUGACUUUAUUUGGACUUGUAACUAGCUAUAUUUUAUCUUUUAAAUUUUAGAGUAUUAGAUCAUAUCUUGGGCUUAUGUUUCAAUACUUAUGAGUUUGAUGCGUUAUUUUAGUAUGUGAUUGGGCUUGGUGUUUGUGUAUGGUUAAAUAUUUAUAUUAAAAAUAUAUUAAAAUAUUUCUAACAUUUUAAAAAAAUUAUUAGGCAGUCCCUUCACUAAUUUUAGACGUUAAAUAUUUAUAAAAAAUUUAAAAUACACGAGACUAAUUAAUAAAUUUUUUAAAAACUUAAAGAAUCAACUAAUAAGUUGUUCAAAACCAUAGAGACAAACUAAUAAAAUAUUUAACAAUUAAAAUUAAUAAAAUAAUUAAGUAGUAGAUUUUUUAAAAUAUUAUAGACAUUUUAAUAUAUUUUUUGAAACCAAUAAAUCAAUUAAAGAAUUUUUUCAUAUCAUAAUAACUAAAUAAUAUUUUUUUUAAAAAAAUAGUUAUUAGCUAUUAAAAUAAAAUUAAAUAAUAAAAAAUAAAUUAACUUAUUUAAAAGUAUUUUUUUAAAAAUAUUUUCUAAAUACAAAUUAUUUUUCACAAAUAAAAAUGAAACGAGCACAAUAGUAAAAUUAAAAUCCUAAACGAAUUCAAGACGAAUUCAAAAAUUUUAUAUAUGAUCGAAUUCGAGUUUGGAUGCUCUCAAUUUUGCGGAUUACCCGUUCCUUAAGCCAAAUUAAUAUGGUGCCACCUGGAAAUUUAUGACUAUCUUGCAGCUAAACUUCAUUUUAGUAACAAUUGGAAUACUAGCAAAAUGCCAACUUUUUAGAUUUCCUGAUAAGAAUUUAAGGACGCUAAAUGCGAUAAUAUAUUAAAAAAAAACUCAUACUCAACCUGCUUCCACUUAUAGAUUAAAAUAAAAUUAAAAAGGGAUGGCAAUCCCUUCCAGCCCCUCCUAGGUCUGUCACUCACUCCACAACAUUUAAUAAUUGAAAAGGAAUGACCACUGAAACCCAACCACCAUAGCUGCUCUGUUAAUAUUUGCAUCUUUUUUUUUUUAGUUUUUUUUGUCACUUUGCAUCUCAUUAUAUGACUCCUGCAUUUAUCAAAGAAACCUCCAAGGGAUCUUCAAGGCUAGCUUUUAGCUAGUCCCUUGUGCAUUAACUUGUAUGAUGUCUCUCUUUCAGAAAAAUGAAUGAACUUCCUGGAUGUGGCAGUAAAUUCAUAAGGUCCACAUUCUUUUCCAGAAACCAGUGAGUUCUCUAUGCAUCACGUGUCAGCCCUUGCCAACUUGCUUGUUCCAUCUUCCAUCUCCCAUCUCUGAUCAAAAGCUGCCUUCUGCAGUAACAUGGAAGAUGAAUCUGAACAGUACUAUCCUUUCAGCUCUUGCAACUGACCUAAAAAUGCUUGUGGCUGGUAGGGAAAUCUUUUAAAUAAGGCCUGGUUGGACAAUUAUUUAAGAGCUUGCAAAUUCAACGCAUUAUGUUGCCUUCUCUUCUUUUCACGUUAAAACUAUUACUGUCGAAAGAUACGAAUCCCUGAAGCUUCAAAGACUAGUUUUUUGCGCAGGAGUUCAAAAUAUCCCAACUUCUUUGCAUGAAGGGAGGCAAAGCAGCAUCCAAUUCAAUGCUUUCCAGAUCUGAAAAGUCGUAUUCAGAUGACAUUUUCACACCUCGCAAAGCCUGAGAAACAUUGGGUAGAACCAUUUGUUUGCAGUGAAGAUGUAGACGAGGUUGCUUUUCAUAGAUGCUUCCACCUUCUAAUUCAAUUUCAAAAGGAAGCAUUUUAUUGCAGGCCACUUUCUCAAUUGAGCUCUUUUCAAGAUCAGACCAAGGCAAAUGUUUCCAUUUCCUGUGCGCUUGCCAUCCAUAUUUGUAGUCUCCAACUAUUGGCGCCCCCAAUACUUCGGCACAAUGAACACGCAGCUUGUGAAAAGACAUGGUUGAUAAAUAAGCAAUUGGACAAUGAGAACAACAAUAAUAAUAAAAACUGGAACUGCAGAAAUCUUUUGCCUGUGAUUCAUACCUGAUGCUUUCUACCAGUAAGAGGUGACAGCUCUAACCAUGUGUAGCCUGCAUUAAGCUACGGAUAAGGUUACAAGACAAAAACUAGAGUAUAAAACAACCCUCUUCCUUUGGCAAAAGAAUUACAAAUAGUUCAAACAGUCAGCUGUAACCAAAUAUAACAAUGUUACACAUACCAAAUGCAUUUUCUAUGGCCUACUAAAAAUCUAUUCUUUCAUUGAAGGCUUUGAACACAAGCAUAUAGCACUUAACUAGUUCACUUAAACUGGAUCAAUUCACCAUUGCAAGUGACUAGCUAAUAUUUGUCUAAAAAAUACGAUAAUGACAAAGAUUCUGAUUAAUUUUUUUGGUAUGUAUGGAAAUAUACAUAGUCAAUUAGUACAUAAAGGAAUUAUGCUCUCAUCAUAGAUAAACUGAACAUUUAUUGACCUGGUUUUUUUCCCUUACAAAAUUUUUAUGGAUAGAACAGAUGGAGCGGACAUGGGAAAAGAACUGAACAUAUUGCUACCAAAAUGCACCAUUCAACUGUCAUAAGGAAAUGUCAUUGCAAAAAGUCUCAACUCUCAGCUAUAUAUUCAUAGCUUAACACACCCAAAAAAGUGCACGUUAUUUAAUUUCCGGCUUGUCAAAAUGAUAUGCAUUUUUUCCACAAACCCAUGACAUUGGUUAUGUGUGUGCUACAGUGCAUUUAUAUAAGUUUAACCUGUAUCCAGUAAAUUAAUCAAACCAACACAGGUGUUCUCUGAUUGGAAGGAGGGGAUUAAGCAUCCAUUAGCGUAGAAGAAUGAAAUGGAUAAAAAGAUUUAAAGCUUGGAAAAACAUAUAGCAUACUGAAAUAUCUUUCUAAGAUGCCUUCGAAAUUUUAGACAAAAGGGUAGUGGUAAUUUGUGAACAUGUUUUAUUCGACAAUCAUUUUACCUCACUCUGCCUUUAAGAUAACAGAAAACAAUCCUGCAAGGAGUUGAGACGACUGGGUAGUUGCAACAAAUAAGUUUCCUACUGUUUUCCCUGUUUUACCUCUAGGCUAAAACUCAUUCCCUAAGUUUGGAAUUAAGCAAUAUGCAAGAAUUUCAUUCAACUGAUUUCUUUUGGCCAAUUCUCAUAUUUGGAAUUGAAACUUCGAUGAAAAGAAGAAAAAGGGAGCAGAAAAUUUGAAAGUAAAUACUUGAUUAUUCCCCUCAAGCUAAUUGUGGUUUAUAUACAACUUAUAAGAGUACAUACUAGGUAAGAAAAUAAAUUAAUUCCCUAAUUAUAGCCUAAUCAUACCCCAAUCAUAUUACACAAUCAUAUCCCUAAUUAUCAAUACAAAUCUAGGCGAUUUACAGAAAUAAUCUCAACACUUCCCCUCAAGCUGGAGCGUACAUAUCAUAUGCUCCAAGUUUGUUACAAAUAUACUCGAUUCGUAGUCCUCGAAGUGAUUUUGUGAAAAUAUCAACUAGCUGAUAAUUUGAGUUGACACAACUAGUAGAAAUGCAUCCGAACUCAAUCUUUUGCCUAAUAAAAUGGCAAUCUACCUCUAUAUGCUUCGUCCUCUCAUGAAAAACUGGAUUUGAUGCAAUAUGGAGGAUAACUUGAUUAUCACAUAUCAACUUCAUUUGGCCAGUAUCGCUAUAUUUCAAUUCCUGAAAGAGUUGCUUCAACUAGAUGAGUUCGCAUGUUGCUAAAGCUAUAGCUCGAUAUUCUGCUUCUGCACUUGAUCUUGCAAUCACACGCACUUGAUCUUGCAAUCACACUCUGUUUUUUACUUUUCUAGGAUAUGAGAUUCCCUCCAAUCAUAAUACAAUAUCCUGAAGUAGAUCGUCUAUCUGAAGGGAAACCUGCCCAAUCUGCAUCAAAAUAGCCAACAAUUUGUGAGUGACCCUUGUCCUCGUAGAGUAGACCUUGUCCUGAAGCUCCUUUGAUAUAUCUAAAAAUGCGAAUGACUGCAUCCCAGUGACUACUGUAUGGAAUUUGAAGAAAUUGACUAACCACACUUACAACAAAGAAAAUAUCUGGUUGUGUGAUAGUGAGAUAAUUGAGCUUGCCGACUAGUCUUAUGUAUCUAGCAGGAUCUUUAAGUGGCUCCCCCUGUUCAGUAACAAGCUUAACAUUUGGAUCCAUGAGAGUGUCCACAUGUCUACAGUCUAACACGCCUGUUUCUUCUAAUAUAUCCAAAGUAUAUUUCCGAUGAGAAAUUGCAAUACUUGUUUUAGACUGUGCCACUUCAAUUCCCAAGGAAUAUAUCAGUUUUCCCAAAUCUUUAGUAUGACUAAACAAUGUUGCUUAAGCUGAGAGAUUCCAUCAUGAUCAUUUCCUGUAAUGACAAUAUCAUCAACAUAGACCACAAAGUAGAUGCAUCUAUCACCAUUAUAGCGAAAAAAUACGGAAUGAUCAGAAUUACUUCGAGACAUUUUAAACUGUUGAACUAAAGUGCUAAAUCGUCCAAACCAUGCUCUUGGAGACUGUUUUAGCCCAUACAAAGAGCGCCGAAGACGACAUACUAAGCCUGACUCCCCCUGAGCAACAAACCCUGGAGGUUGCUCCAUAUAAACUUCUUCAGCGAGCUCUCUAUGAAGAAAGACAUUUUUAAUGUCCAGUUGAUGCAGGGUCCGGUGAUUAAUUGCAGCCAAUGAGAUAAGGAAGCGAACGGAAGCUAUUUUGGCUACGGGAGAGAAAGUAUCACCGUAAUCAAGCCCAAAAAUCUGUGUAACCUUUAGCUACAAAGCGAGCUUUAAGGCGAUCAAUUUUGCCAUCAAGUCCCACCUUAACUGUGUAAACCCAUCGACAACCAACAGUAAACUUACCAGGUGAUAAGGAGACCAAUUCCCUAGUUCCAUUGUUAUGCAGAGCAGUCAUUUCCUCAACCAUGGCAUUACACCAACCAGGAUGAUCCAAUGCUUCUCUAACUGUCUUGGGUAUGAAGACAGCAGACACAGCAGAGACAAAAGUAUAAUAGGAAGGAGACAAACGAUGAUAACUCACAAAAUUAUAAAUUGGAUAAGGAUUUCGGGAAGAGCGAAUACCUUUUCGAAGAACAAAAGGAGUAGCUGCUGUUGUUGAAGGCAUGACCGAAGUAGGUGAUGACAGAACGAGAGGGAGGUGAGUCAUUAGAAGUACCUGCAUUAGAGAGAGAAAUGUCAUUGUGAUUAGCAUAUGAGUGAGACCGACGUGUAUAGACCUGAAGAGGUUGCAUAGGAGUAGGAGAUGGAUACACUUGCGGCAAAGAAGAAAUCGGAGUUGGAAGUACAGGCAAAGCGCUAGGGACAAAAGUUUUGUGUGUUGGACUAGAAGAAAAGUAAGGAGAGGUUUCAAAAAAGGUGAUAUUUGCAGACACAAAAUAUCUGUUAGUAGUAGGAUCAUAGCAUUUGUAACCUUUUUGAAGCCAUGAAUAACCGAGAAAGACACGUUUAACUGAUUUGGGUUGGAGUUUGUCUUUACUAGGAGUAUGAUUAUGAACAAAGCAUAUACAUCUGAAAACACGCAGAGACAACUGGGUGGAAUUCUAGUAGGAAAUAGGAUAGAAUGAGGACUUUAAUGCUGCAAAACAGAGGAAGGCAUUUGGUUAAUCAAAUAAAAGGCGGUGAGGACAGCUUCCCCCAAAAAACACAACGGAACAUUGUGAUGUAGGAGUAAAAUGCGAGCUGUUUCAAUUAAAUGCCGAUUUUUCCGCUCGGCAACUCCAUUUUGUUGUGGGGUAUAAGAGCAAGAAGUUUGGUGAGUAAUACCCUGAGUAGACAAGAAAUGAGUGAAUGAGGAAGACAAAUACUCUCUUGCAUUAUCACUUCGCAAUAUCUUAAUGCGAACACCAAAUUGAUUAUGGAUUUCAGAGUUGUACUAACUCGACUUGGACUCCAAAUAUUUGAAUGAACAAUGUCAAACAUAGAACUGGCCUUAUUAUUGAUUCACUUGGGAAAAGAAGCUCGAGUUUGCUUCCCGAGUUGACAAAACUCACAUUCUAAAGAAGGCAAGGAAGAGAGGCUAGGAACCAGUUUUUGUAACUUGUUCAGACUUGGAUGUCCCCAACAACUAUGAAUGAGUUCAGCGGAGGUGGAAGACACAAAAGCAAGUGGAGAGUAAGAAGUGGAAAAAUAGUACAAUUCUUGUGACUCACAUCCUGCUUCAAUCAUUUUUCCAGUACUCCGAUCCUGCACAACUACAGAUUUAGUAGUAAAGAUGAUUGAAUAGUAAAGAUCUUUAGUCAAUUUGCCAACAGAGAUUAGGUUGUAUAGAGAGUCAGGAGUAAAUAAAACAUUAGUCAAAGGGAUAGAAGGAAAGAGAUAUACGUUACUGAUCCUUUUAACUUAAGUUUGUGAACCAUUAGCUAAUGUGACUCUAGAUGGUAUGGAAGGUGAAACAAGAGUAGAGAAAAGAGAGGGAUUACCAAAAAUAUGAUCAGAAGCACCAGAGUCGAGGAUCCAUGAACCAAUGGGUAAAGACUUGGUUAGAUAAGUAAAAGAAUUACCAAAAUGGGCAAUAUUUGAUUGGGCCAUGGAGACUGAAUCUGAAUCUGCCAAAAAAGAAGGAUUUGCGCAUGUGAACAGUAUAUCCGACGUUAGACGGGCUGGGUAAGCGAUCGGACCUAUUGGGCUGGAGUCGUCGUCGCCGGGCGAUGCUGGAGGAAGAGUCGCUGGCGUGAAAAGGUCGCCGGAAGAUGGUACACAUCCACACUUGGCCGAAGAGCGUGUGAAGGCGGGUUGAACAGGUGACCGAACCUACUGGGCUGGAGUCGCCGGCAUAGAGCGAGGCUGGAGGAAGAAUCGCCGGCGUGAAACGGUCGCCGGAAAAAGGUGCACGUGCCGGCACGUGGCUAGAGACGGGUUGGUUGGGGCAACGCGUGGAGGCGCGUGAGGCCAAAUCUGCAAGCGGUGCUUCACUGAAAAGUAGAUCGGACGACGGCGUGAAAAAUGGGCUGAGUGGUGAAACUAACUGAUUUCUAGAAAGUCACCAAAACAAGGUGGCAAAUCUGCCACUCAAAGGUGAACCAAGUUUCUUGGCUCUGAUAAAAGAAAAAAAAGAGAGCAGAAGAUUUGAGAGAAAAUACUUUAUUAUUCCCCUCAAGCCAAUUGGGGUAUAUAUACUACUUACAAGAGUACAUACUAUGUAAGAAAAUAAAUUAAUUCCCUAAUUAUAGUCUAAUCAUAUCCCUAAUUAUCAGUACAAAUCUAGGCUAUUUACAGAAAUAAUCUCAACAGGAAUGAAAGAAAUUCAAUUCAUUUCAAUUUUAACAAAAAUAAUUUCAACAGAAAUAGAAAUCAUGCAUUUUUGUGUUAGAAUUAAUUAAUGCAUUCUUUUCUUGCAAAUUAUUUAUUCCAAGCAAAGCCUAUAUAAAAAUUUGCAAUGAGUUUUCCAAAUAAAUUGAAUACUAACCAAGAGAUGAUUCAAUUACUCUGUACUGUGUUACUGCAUGCUGGGAAGAUGUGUUAUGUGCAUUGUCAACCACAGUUAUUCGAUCAGAUUUUCCAUUGUCCACCACCACCUGAAAGCAAUCAGAGAAAGAAGCAUGUCUGUUAGCUAGGACUUUAGAAAGACAAGAAAAAACCAUUUGUCUAUAUCAUAAUGGAAAAGGAAUACUGUUGCACUGUGUCUAGACCUUCACCUUUGUGAACUAAUUGGCCCAAACCCCUUGAGCAAAAACCUAAUAAGGAGGUUAUGGACUAACCAGCUUAAAAGAGCAGUAAAGGAAAUUGCUCUCUUGAUGCUACAGGGAUUAAACCACUUAAAACAGGAAGAGAAAAGAUGCCAUGACCAUCAAUUUAAUGAAUUCAUGACUAUUACUGAAGCAUUUCAUGAGUUAAAAACUUUUUUUUUUAUGUAUCUGACGACUGGAUAGUUCAGACAUUAAUAAAAAUGCUACCAAAACUACUGAACAUUAGCUGGUCUAAGAAAUCUAAUCACAUCGACAACCAUCUAUACUAUUUUAUCAAUGAAAAACAUCAACAGAGCAGGUAAACACAAGAAAAUAUCAAUUGAUGCAAAACAUCACACACAUAACUUCUCAUAACCAAGAAAGCACCACAACUUUCUUGAUAACCAUCACACUGUUUCCCUUUAUUCACCAGACGCAUAACAUAACUGAAGUUCAAGUUUUUACGUUGACUAUCAACGGGACAAGGUACAAAGCAAUCCCUAGCCUAUUUGCAGAGAAACACAUAGCCUGAGCCCAUAUACCAGAACGCUCUGUCUCUGUGCAUGUGCACAUACCGUUACAUGCAUCCUAUCAACCCUACAAGGUACAGAGCACUGCCUAGCCUGUUUGCAGAGAAACACAUAGCCUGAGCCCAUAUACCAGGGUGCUCUGUCUCUGUGCAUGUGCACAUACAGUUACAUGCGUCCAGAUUUUAUUAAUUUCAAACCUAAAACGCUUAAGUUUGGAUGGCGACAAAAGCAUCCCAAUAAUCAAGGCUUUCAACUGAAUGUCCCUUCCUUCCCUCCAUUUUGGUACAAAACUGAUGGAAGCUGCCAAUAAGUGCUGUUCAAUUUUUCAGAAACAAAUUUAAAAAUGACUUCCACUAAUGCUAUUAAGAAUCAAGGACAAUCUAACCUUUCCCAGUGGUGCCGAAAUUAGCCCCUUUUGACGUCUUGGAGAGCCAAUGACAAGUGCCCAAUACUUUUUUUGCAAGAUUCUCCUUCUGUCACCAAUAUCCUUUAAAAUAGAAGACGAUUAUUGUUUGCCUGUAAUAAUAACUGAACCAACUGUAGCCUACAUGCCUUAAAAAUAGAAGAUGGAGGGAAAAAAUACAGAGUAGACAAUCACUCACAUCAUUUGAUGCUGCAAAAGUUUUCUCUCUGAAGAUAGAGUGCAGAACAGUUGUACUUGUUUGUGUUCUUCCCAUGACCAAGAUGCCACUACUAUCUCUGUCAAGUCUAUGAACCUGAUAAAAGGUAGUUUGUUCAGGAAAACAUUUGCAUGUAACCUCACAAAUGAAACAGCUAUAAGAAUAUUUAUGAAAUGGACAAACCAACUCAGUUGAGCUAAUUACUACAGGACAAAAGAUAGCAUUCACUUUAAGCACCAUAAUUAAGUUGAAGUCCAAUCUCCAUGUUUUGCUAUUCUUUUCACUCAAUGGUGCCACUUCUGGUAAAUUCAAUUUUUAAUUACCACUUUCGUUUCAGAAAUUAGAUCCACAAGUUAUGAUAAAACCAAAUAUACUGAACCAGGAAGUGGCUCAACAAAAUGAAAAAUAAAACAAAUUAAUCACAAACUAACCAGCCUAGGGGAUUCAGGAUAGUCAUAACAUAAACAAUGAGCAGCCAGCUCAUCUAAACUUCUUUUGAUGCCAAUGCCUCCCUGUCCAAGCAUAUUUAAAGAAAAGCUUUUACCCCACAAUCUAAAAAAAAAGAAAAACAAUAGAGGAGAAUAUAAAUUUAGCUAACCUGAACAGGCAUUCCAGGAGGUUUAUUUACAACGAUAAUGUCAUCAUCCUAUCAGAGAAAAAAGCACAUCAGCUCAAAUUUAGGACAAAGACAGUGCAUAAUACAACUUCAAACUAACAGAUUCAAGAUUAAUAACCUUAUACAACAAAAGGCUACGAAUAAAGUUUAUUUCUUCCUCAUUGUAAGAACACUGCUGUUUUUCAGAGGGCAAUGCUUGAACCGUGAUAGGAAGAAAGAUUCUAUCUCCUACAUCCAGCAAGUCCUUAGCUGCCACCUUCCAGUAAUUUAAAAUUUCAGAGAGAAAACAAAAAGAGUAACCACUAAUUACAUCUAUAUGUUAAAAACAGAAAAAUCAGCUACUUCUAAUCAAAAAGUAAGUUGUUUUGCUUACCCUUUUAAGUCUUUGUUCCUCUGUUUGAUCACCUGGAUUAGAGGACUCUCUUCUAACCUGUAAUCAAAUAAACCCCAGUAAAAUGAACUCAAAAUUUUCAGAUGUUGCAUUAAAAAAUCAUGGAUACCCAUAAAAUGUGAGAGUUCAAAAAAAGAAAGACCUGUCUUAGGCGAAAUAGUUUCUGCACGAGGCUUCUUGGGAGCUCCGGGCAGCAACGAAGUACCCACUUGAGCGCCGUCGUUUCAGUGGCUGCUUUCGCUGUAAUUUUUGCCGAUAGCGCUUUUCCCAAGGCGGAGCCACUAAUUGUGCAAGUAUAAGGAGGCAAAGUGAACCAUUUACCUUUCUUUUUAACAUUGUCUCUACAGUUUUGGUCUUUGAGUGAGGAGUGGACACGGGUGGUGGUGUUGGACGUCGUCGUCGUGGUGAUGCAGCGAGACCGGAUUACGUGGGCGGUUGAGAUAGAAGUCCUUGUCGAGCAGCGAGUGGAGAAUAACAAUGCCGAUUGGAAGAGCACACGGCGGAGGGUGGAUUCCGGCAUCAUGGAUUUAUUUGAUUUGGUUAUGGGGAGGGAGGAUCUUCUGGGUAGUAGGAGGGUUUUAUGAAGACGGUAAAUCGUUAUUAAAAGGCAUGGGCCGAAUUACGUGAUUUUACAUUUUAAUAUAAAAUUAUUAUAAUUUUGCACGAUUUUUAAAAAUUAAAAUUAAAAGUAAAAAGUAUUAAAUGUAUGACAUGGUCGGAAAGAAAUAGUGUUGCAAUUGGUUAAUUUAUAAGAAAGAGAACAUGAGAUGGUCAGUGUCUAAGUUAACUCAAAUAAAUAAAUUGAACAAAAGUGUCCUUAUAAGGAAUUAUUUAGAAUUCAAGAAUAGUUGUGUAAAAAUUGCGUAUUUUUAUUUCUGUGAUCAUUAGUUUUUAUAAGAGAAAAUUAAUUAUAGUAUUUUUUGAAAAUUCGGUAAUAACGUGGCUGACUAAUUAAUAACAGACCUCACCAACUAAUUGAUCGAGAAACUCGUAAUUACAAGCGUAAUGGGGAUCUGCUAUAUUGUAUCCGCUAAUAGUACUUCUCUAGGAGAGGGCGAGUCUUGAUAAAGAACCGGGUGCUGCGGUGUUCAGAUCUUUCCUUCCACGGGUGAGACCGCAUAUAUGUUUAUCAAACCUUUGUCACGUGAGCUUGUCUUAUGGUGACAGCUCAUGGCUUACUUUGAGAGAUUGUUGUGUUACAUCACAGGUCCCUCGCUGGUUUUCAAUUCUUCAAAUUCAAAUGUGACAAUUGUCUUCAUGAUUUGGAGCUCGUGGCUAAUUUAGAUUGGCCUUUCCCUUCACAUGUCAUUUCGCCUGCUCCUACCCAUUAAUGAUGACUGCCCUGUUUCUUGAGCAGCAUUCAAAACUUGCCGGCGAAACUGCCAUAUAAGAAUCCUUCUUCUUUUCUAAAUAUCACUUUUACUCACAACUGAUAUCUUUGCUUUAGAAAAGUGUGACUAUUUCUCUCUUUCGCAUCUUAAGGUAAUUCCUAUUUGCUUUCUGUUUCAUAACAGAGUAGGAGCUCUUCCUCUUCUGCUUCUAGUCGAAGUCCUACGUCAAGCUCCUCCUUUGACGGCCCCUUUCAUGCUCCAGCUCCCAUUAUUCCUGUAAUACCCGGCUAGAUUCCGGCAUCGGAAUCCCUACCUUCCGGCGGAAUCUGUAACAGCCCGAAAACCGAACUGCUACCGGCACUAGGAUCCAGAUCGACUUAAGGUCGCCGGGACCCGUAGUAAGCCUGCUAUCCUAUCUGUGUACCUGUGACAUCCCAUACAUGAUCAUAUAUUUUCUGUCAAAACAUAAAACAUUUCUUCAUUCCAAGGCUUAACCUGGGCAUGCACUAUCUCUGUUCUGGUCUCUACCAAUCCCUACUAGAGCUCCUCAUUGUUCUAGGCGGAUAAAACUCAUAAUGUUAAGCCUGGUUUUCUCAUAAACAUGAACAAUACAAGAAACCAUAGAUAAACUGAUCAUGUGUCUACAACAAGGGAUUACAACUCUUAUAAUCAAGCACCAGUCUAUACACUUAUACAUAUACAUUAUCUCUUUACAUUUACAUGUCCACACUAGCUAUGACAAACUCUCUAUACUCUUUCUGUACUCUGCUGACUGCCCUUUGAACUCUGAACCUGCACAACUGGAUUUAGGGGAGAGGGAUGAGCUACUAUAGCCCAGUGAGUAGAACAGUAAUAAAGAACAGGUGAUAAAACGUGCUCUCAUGAAAUGUAUCACAUCACAAGUAAUCACAUCAUCUCAGCAUGGACGGAUCAACACUCCCUCAUCUCAUCUGGGGUACCGAAAUACCAUGUGCCUGGUCCUCGUAGGGCUGUUCCAGGUCUUUCCUCCAAGGGCUAUUGAAUCCUUACUAUGUCCAUACAGUCAUAGAAACCAUGUACAAGGAGCAAUGCCAAGUACAAGGAUAAAUGCAAUGCAUCAUAUUCGUGUACACUAAUGCACUCACCCUAUAGCAUAUGCAUGAUGCAUGAAGCAUGAUAAAAAUAUCCAUUUCUCAUAUUAAAACAGUACAGUUAGUUCCACUCACCUCAGGUUGACUCUGAACUGACUCUGCAGGUUCUGAAACUGGACUCACUGCUGACCUCCCUGAUUCCUCUGGUCCGUACCUACACAGGUGGACUCAAAUGAGGGACCAAACUAACUCAAGAACAUCUCUAAGAAACUCCCCCAAAACCCUCUAAACGAUCCUUAAACAGGCACAUAAAACAUGCAAAAGAAAGCUGGACAGGGCACUUUCGGCGGCAGGUUCGGCGGCCGAAACCCCUCUCCAGAGACGAAACUCAUGCAUGUUCGGCGGCACCUUCGGCAGCCGAAAGUCUCAUCCAGAGACGACACUCAACCUUCGGCGGCACUUUCGGCGGCCGAACCUUGCCUCCAGAGACGAAAGUCCCAAGUUUCGGGGGCAAGCUUUGGUAGCCGAAACUGCCUCCACAAGGGGUUCGGCGGCCGAACCUUCCUUCGGCGGCCGAACCUGGUUUUGCCCGAAGGGCAGAACCCUGCUCUGUUUCAUGCAAACUCUCCCAAAAAUUGACCCAACAUGCAUAUCAACUACUCCCAACUAGCACAUACCAGAUAACCCAUACAAACUUCAUAAAACCUUGAAAACUCAUCAAAGAAGCUCAGGAUCUUCACUUACCUCUUAAAGAACUUGAGGGUGAAGGAUCCUAACGUGGAGAUAUGAAGAAAACCUCUUCCAAAGCUCCAAGCUUCAAAACUUGGUUAUUUUGCUCAACUCUUCAAAACAACAACAAAACUCUUAAAACCUUUGAAAGAUUUAGUGAAAAACAUGAAAAUCAUCAAAGUCAACUUGGGAAGGGUUUUGGCUCACCUCUGGCUGCAAGUGGAGGAGAAAAUAUCCUCCUUCCACCGACCCUUGGCCCUUUUAUAGGUGGCUGGCCAGACCACCUUCGGCAGCCGAACGUGAAUUCGAAACCAUGCAAUGUUCGGCGGCCGAAAGUGACCUUCGACGGCCGAACCUUUGCAUUUCUCCCUUGUUGCUUUUCUUGCCACACUCAUUUCCUUUAACACUUUAAAACAUGUAAAACUCGUAAAAACACAUGAAAACAUAUGUCUUACCCUUCUCGAGGGUUCCGACACCCGAAAUUCCACCGAACUACAGGAAUUCCGAUGCCGGACUCCAGCCGGGUAUUACAUUCUUCCCCCCUUAAGAACAUUCGUCCUCGAAUGUUCCUCAAACAACAACAUACAUAAACACAUAUACAUAUAACAAUGGGGAAAACCUAACCUUAAAACAGAUAUGGAUAUUGCUGGAGCAUGGACUCCCGUGUCUCCCAAGUGCACGCUUCUAGGUUAUGGUGGUUCCACAGGACUUUCACCAUUGGUAUCUCCUUGUUUCUCAGCUUUCGAAUCUGGGUGUCAAUGAUCCGCACUGGCUGCUCGACAUAGGUGAGAUCGCUUAAGAUUUCCACCUCAGGCUCACUAAGAACCUUCUCUGGAUCUGACACAAACUUUCUCAACAUAGAAACAUGAAAUACCGGGUGAACUCGUUCCAUCGAUGCAGGUAAAUCCAGCUUAUACGACACAGGCCCGAUCUUCUGCAAGAUUUCAAAGGGACCUAUGUACCGUGGAGCUAAUUUACCCUUCUUUCCAAAGCGAACCACUCCCUUCAUUGGAGACACCUUCAGCAAAACCAUAUCCCCCUCCUGGAACUCUAUUUGCUUCCUACGGAUGUCUGCAUAACUUUUCUGCCUACUUACAGCUGUUCUGAUCCUCUCUCUGAUUACAGGCACUAACUUGCUGGUAAUCUCAACUAACUUGGCCCUGCAAGAGCCUUCUCUCCUACCUCUUCCCAGCAAACAGGUGUUCUGCACUUCCUCCCAUACAGAGCUUCAUAAGGAGCCAUCCCUAUGCUAGCAUGAUGGCUGUUGUUGUAGGCAAACUCCACCAGAGGUAGAUGCUGCCUCCAAGAACCGCCAAAGUCUAACACACACAUUCUCAGCAUAUCUUCUAUGGUCUGGAUGGUCCUUUCUAACUGACCGUCUGUCUGUGGAUGGAAAGCAGUACUGAAAUCCAAUCUGGUACCCAUAGCAGCUUGCAGACUCCGCCAAAACCUGGAGGUGAACUGCGGUCCUCUAUCUAAUACUAUCGACACUGGAACUCCAUGCAGCUUGACUAUCUCCUCGACAUAAACCUGCACUAACUUGUCUACAGAAUAGUUGCUCCUGACUGGUAUGAAGUGAGCAGAUUUCGUCAGUCUGUCCACAAUCACCCAUAUGGAGUCUAGUCUGUUGGACGUCGCCGGUAACCCCACUACAAAAUCCAUAGCUAUGUUCUCCCAUUUCCACUCUGGAAUCGGCAGUGGGUUAAGCAUUCCAGCCGGCUUCUGGUGUUCUAGCUUCACCCUUUGAUAUGUCUCGCAGGCUGACACAAACUGUGCCACUUCCCUUUUCAUCGCUGGCCACCAAUACACUCUUCGCAGAUCUUGAUACAUCUUGGUGGCUCCAGGGUGAACGCUAUACCUCGCAUUAUGAGCUUCCCUCAUAAUGUCUUCCUUCAAACUCCUAUCAUCUGGUACACAUAAUCUCUUACCGUGACGAAGAAUCCCCUCACUGUCAAAUCUAAACUCUGCACUGGUGCCAGACUGAACCGUCCUGGCAAUCUUCACUAACUCAGGGUCUUCGUGCUGUUUCAGAGCCACUUGCUCUAGAAACACUGGUGUAACUCUCAUCUGUGCAAGCAAAACACCUGUACCAGAUAACUGCAACUGUAGCCCUUCAUCUAGGAGUCUGUAAAAGUCCUUCACCACCGGUCUUCUCUCUAUUGCAAUGUGGGAUAAACUGCUAAGUGACUUCCGGCUUAAGGCAUCAGCUACAACAUUAGCCUUACCCGGAUGAUAUUGGAUCGUACAAUCGUAAUCACUGAGCAAUUCUACCCACCGUCUCUGCCUCAAGUUUAACUCUCUUUGACUCAAGAUGUGCUGCAGGCUCUUAUGAUCCGUAUAGAUCUCACACUUUACCCCAUAGAGGUAAUGCCUCCACAUCUUAAGUGCAAAGAUAACAGCUGCCAUCUCAAGAUCGUGUGUCGGAUAGUUCAGCUCAUGCUUCUUCAGCUGUCUAGAAGCAUAAGCUAUCACUCUGUCAUUCUGCAUUAACACACAACCUAAUCCCACUCGGGAUGCAUCACAGAACACUGUGAACUCAUCAUCACUGUUCGGCAGAGCUAAUACCGGUGCUGAAGUCAAUCUUCUCUUCAACUCUUCAAAACUCUCAUCACAAUCCUCUGACCAUACGAACUUCUGAUUCUUCCUAGUCAGUCUGGUCAUAGAAGCAGCUAUCUUCGAAAAGUCCUGAACGAACCUCCGAUAGUAGCCUGCCAAACCCAGAAAACUCUUAAUCUCAGUCACUGUCGUGGGUGUAGGCCAGUUGGCUACUGCCUCUACCUUUUUGGGAUCAACUGCUAUUCCUUCUUCUGAUACUACAUGACCCAAAAAGGAAAUACUCCUGAGCCAGAACUCGCACUUGGAGAACUUGGCAUACAAACCAUGCUCUCUCAAGGUUUGUAGCACUAUCCGCAGAUGCUGGGCAUGUUCUUCUACAUUUCUGGAGUACACCAAGAUAUCAUCUAUAAAGACGAUCACAAAACGAUCCAGGUACUCCCUGAAACCCCUGUUCAUGAGAUCCAUGAAUGCUACAGGGGUGUUAGUCAACCCGAACGGCAUUACUAGGAACUCAUAAUGCCCAUAUCUGGUCCUGAACGCAGUCUUGGAUACAUCUUCUUCCCUAAUCUUCAACUGGUGGUAUCCGGAUCUCAGAUCUAUCUUAGAAAAACAACCUGCUCCUGCUAGCUGGUUGAAUAGAUCAUCGAUCCUGGGUAACGGAUACUUGUUUUUGAUCGUGACUUUGUUCAACUGUCUGUAGUCGACACAAAGUCUAAGAGGUCCAUCCUUCUUUCUGACAAACAAUACUGGAGCACCCCAAGGGGAGGUACUCGGGCGGAUGAAACCCUUCUCUACCAAGUCCUGUAACUGCUCUUUCAACUCUCUCAACUCUGUUGGCGCCAUCCGGUAGGGAGGAAUAGAGAUCGGUCUGGCACCGGGCAUUAACUCAAUCUCGAACUCUAUUUCCCUAUCAGAUGGUAGUCCUAGAAGCUCUUCAGGAAACAAAUCUAGGAAUUCUCGAACAACUGGUACUGAGGAUGGUUCCCUAAUCUGACUGUCUAGCUCUCUCACAUAAGCUAGGAACCCCUGACACCCCUUCCUCAACAUCCUACGAGCCUGAAGGGCUGAUAUCAAACCCCUAGGUGUCCCUCUCUUGUCUCCUCUGAAGACACACUCUGACCCAUCCUGGUCUCUGAGACUAACUACCUUGUCCCUGCAGUGCAACGUAGCACGAUAGGUAGAUAACCAAUCCAUCCCUAGAAUGACAUCAAAAUCUGUCAACUCUAGAACCACAAGGUCAGCUGGAAGGCAUCUAUCCUCUAUACACACUGGACUGAACUGACAGACUGACUCUGCCAAUGAUGGGUCACAUCUAGGUCCACUGACCCAGAGAGGACACUCUAACUUGGAUACAAUCAACCCCAAUCUCUCUGCGGCUCUAGAAGAAAUGAAAGAGUGAGAAGCACCGGGAUCCAUCAAAGCAUACACCUCUGAACACCCAAUGAUGAGAUUACCUGACACCACUGUGUUCGAAGUGUCUGCCUCCUGCUGCAUCAUGGUGAAAAUCCGUGCUGGAGCUGAUGGACCUGCACCUCGGGAACCCAUCCCUGAUGAAGAGGAUGCCCCUCUUCCUCUACCUCUGCCACUGCUUGGUGGACGGACUGAAGCUGCGGACUAGACAACACUACCUGCGGUCAUCUGCUGGGAUGGUGCAACCAAAGUCGCCUGAGGACAUUCCCGUGCAUAAUGUCCCUCCUGCCCACAUCUAUAGCAGGCUGUAGAUCCCAACAAACAAGCUCCUCUGUGCUGUCUCCCACACCUAUUGCAAACUGAAAGAUCUGUGCUUGAGUUGGAGCCGCUACUCAUUCCCAGACCCGACUUAAUUCUGCUCCAAAACUUGCCUCUCUUUCCUCUGAGUUUAUCCCAUCUUUUCUUGCUUACACUUGCCGUACUCUGUGAGGAGGAACCUGGUUUAGCACCAGAAGACUGUGCCUUUGUUUGCUUGAUUAUUCCCUGACUUAUGGCACUAGCCUCCAUCUUUCUCACAGCAUCCAUAAUGGAGUGAAAACUCUCCUUCUCCGCAUGGAGAAUCAAGGAGAAAUACCUGGGAUGAAGCCUCGUGGCAUAUCUCUUUGCUUUCUUUUGAUCCGUAUCAUACGCCUGACCCACGUAGGGUACCAAUGCCAGAAACUGAUCUGUAUACUCAUCAACGCUCAUCUCCUCCGUCUGUCGCAACUGUUCAAACUCCAUAACCUUUAGCUCCCUGGAACUGUCAGGGAAAGCCCACCCAGCAAACUCAUUAGCGAACUCUUCCCAUGUUAUACUGUCUUUUCUGGGGUCCACAUAGUUCUUGAACCAUUCUUUGGCUUUCUUACACUUCAACGUGAACCCUGCCAUCUCAAUGGCUCUGCUAGCAUCUGCUCCCAACUCACUUGUUAUCAUUCUGACUGCACUGAGAUACUCAAAGGGAUCAUCUCCCGUGUUGAAUUUAGGAGCAUCCAACUUUAAGUACUCCGUCAUCUUCACCUUCGUUCCCCCUGAAGAAUUGGGUUGUGCUUCAACAACAGGGGCUACUGGUUCAGGUGGUGGUGGUGGUACUAUUUCUCGGGAUUCAGGCGAUGUUGAACUUGGAUGAAAAGGUGGGGGUGGAUACAUGUGAUAUGGUGGAUAGAAGGAAGGAUAGGGCAUAUAUGGCAUGUAGGGUGGAUAUGGGGCAAAGCUAGAGUAAUCCGACGUACCUCCCAUCGGAUCCCCUGGGCCCUGUGGAAAGGGUGGAUAGCCAAACCCCGAGGCCUGUGCGCCUCCCUGAGACUCCCCCAUACCUUCUUCUGACCUUCCUAUACCCAUACUGACAUCUCUACUCUGAGCCUCCUCCAUAGCAACUCUCUCUGCUUCUGCUCUUCCCCCUCUGUCUAUACCUCUUCUGCUCUCGUCAGAAGACCUUCUCGGGUCUCUUGACGUUCCCUCUCUGCUUGACCUGUGAGAUCUUGCCCUUGGCAAUGCAGGAGGACGAGCAGCUAUACCCUCACUUUCAGGUGGGACUCCAGUCAAUCUCGCGGAUCGACGAGUUCCUCGCAUCGUAACUCUCUCUGGCAAACAACACAUAACAAAGCACAUAAGCAACACAUAGAGGAAAACAUCACAUGCAUCAUGGCAUUACAUAACAUCAGCAGAUAGACAGGACGAACAUCCUAUCCUAGUGGACAUGUUUUCCUACUGUGCUUGACUCACUACACCUCUAUGAGCCCAACUCUAUCUCUAUAGGUCCGACCAUGUGAACCUAGGGCUCUGAUACCAAUCUGUAACAGCCCGAAAACCGAACUACUACCGGCACUAGGAUCCAGAUCGACUUAAGGUCGCCGGGACCCGUAGUAAGCCUGCUAUCCUGUCUGUGUACCUGUGACAUCCCAUACAUGAUCAUAUAUUUUCUGUCAAAACAUAAAACAUUUCUUCAUUCCAAGGCUUAACCUGGGCAUGCACUAUCUCUGUUCUGGUCUCUACCAAUCCCUACUAGAGCUCCUCAUUGCUCUAGGCGGAUAAAACUCAUAAUGUUAAGCCUGGUUUUCUCAUAAACAUGAACAAUACAAGAAACCAUAGAUAAACUGAUCAUGUGUCUACAACAAGGGAUUACAACUCUUAUAGUCAAGCACCAGUCUAUACACUUGUACAUAUACAUUAUCUCUUUACAUUUACAUGUUCACACUAGCUAUUACAAACUCUCUAUACUCUUUCUGUACUCUGCUGACUGCCCUCUGAACUCUGAACCUGCACAACUGGAUUUAGGGGAGAGGGAUGAGCUACUAUAGCCCAGUGAGUAGAACAGUAAUAAAGAACAGGUGAUAAAAUGUGCUCUCAUGAAAUGUAUCACAUCACAAGUAAUCACAUCAUCUCAGCAUGGACGGAUCAACACUCCCUCAUCUCAUCUGGGGUACCGAAAUACCAUGUGCCUGGUCCCCGUAGGGCUGUUCCAGGUCUUUGUGCCUGGUCCCCGUAGGGCUGUUCCAGGUCUUUCCUCCGAGGGCUAUUGAAUCCUUACUAUGUCCAUACAGUCAUAGAAACCAUGUACAAGGAGCAAUGCCAAGUACAAGGAUAAAUGCAAUGCAUCAUAUUCGUGUACACUAAUGCACUCACCCUAUAGCAUAUGCAUGAUGCAUGAAGCAUGAUAAAAAUAUCCAUUUCUCAUAUUAAAACAGUACAGUUAGUUCCACUCACCUCAGGUUGACUCUGAACUGACUCUGCAGGUUCUGAAACUGGACUCACUGCUGACCUCCCUGAUUCCUCUGGUCCGUACCUACACAGGUGGACUCAAAUGAGGGACCAAACUAACUCAAGAACAUCUCUAAGAAACUCCCCAAAAACCCUCUAAACGAUCCUUAAACAAGCACAAAAAACAUGCAAAGGAAAGCUGGACAGGGCACUUUCGGCGGCCGAAACCCCUCUCUAGAGACGAAACUCAUGCAUGUUCGGCGGCACCUUCGGCAGCCGAAAGUCUCAUCCAGAGACGACACUCAACCUUCGGCGGCACUUUCGGCGGUCGAACCUUGCCUCCAGAGACGAAAGUCCCAAGUUUCGGGGGCAAGCUUUGGCAGUCGAAACUGCCUCCACAAGGGGUUCGGCGGCCGAACCUUCCUUCGGCGGCAGAACCUGGUUUUGCCCGAAGGGCAGAGCCCUGCUCUGUUUCAUGCAAACUCUCCCAAAAAUUGACCCAACAUGCAUAUCAACUACUCCCAACUAGCACAUACCAGAUAACAUGCAUAAAGAGGUCAAAACUCUCCUACACCUCAAACACACAUAGCACAUAUCACUGCAACAUGCUUAAACACCAAAGAUCACCAAAAACCUCUUCUAAACCUAAACAUGCUUCCUACCCAUACAAACUUCAUAAAACCUUGAAAACUCAUCAAAGAAGCUCAGGAUCUUCACUUACCUCUUAAAGAACUUGAGGGUGAAGGAUCCUAACGUGGAGAUAUAAAGAAAACCUCUUCCAAAGCUCCAAGCUUCAAAACUUGGUUAUUUUGCUCAACUCUUCAAAACAACAACAAAACUCUUAAAACCUUUGAAAGAUUUAGUGAAAAACAUGAAAAUCAUCAAAGUCAACUUGGGAAGGGUUUUGGCUCACCUCUGGCUGCAAGUGGAGGAGAAAAUAUCCUCCUUCCACCGACCCUUGGCCCUUUUAUCGGUGGCUGGCUAGACCACCUUCGGCAGCCGAACGUGAAUCCGAAACCAUGCACUGUUCGGCGGCCGAAAGUGACCUUCGGCGGCCGAACCUUUGCAUUUCUCCCUUGUUGCUUUUCUUGCCACACUCAUUUCCUUUAACACUUUAAAACAUGUAAAACUCGUAAAAACACAUGAAAACAUAUGUCUGACCCUUCUCGAGGGUUCCGACACCCGAAAUUCCACCGAACUACAGGAAUUCCGAUGCCGGACUCCAGCCGGAUAUUACAGAAUCUCCGUUGGAAUCUAGAAUUCUGAAGAUGCCAGAGGCUUCUAGAGGGGUAAAAUGUGUUUUCUAAAAGGUUUUUACUGAUUUCAUGGUUUUAAAUGAAAAAGAAUUGAGUUUUGAAAAGAAAAGACCAAGGAGGCAUUUGCCAGGUUCGGCCGCGGAAAGUGAAGUUCGGCCGCCGAACAUGGGAAGGCUUCGGGAGCGCUUUUGGCCUCCGAAAGCUUUGUUUGAGUGAGCCAAGGUUCGACCGCCGAACCUCAAGUUCGGCCGCCGAACUUGCAUGAGUUUAGGGGGCACGUUAGGCUGCCGAAGGUCUUCGACCAGGCCACCUAUAAAGGGCCCUCAGAUCGGAAAUGGGCGAGUUUUCUCCCCAUUCUCGAGCUCAGGUGAGUUUUUGUCCUCCUUUGGCCAUUUUCAUGUUUUUCUUCAUCUCCUUCAUGUUUUCAUGAGUUUUAUGGCUGUUUUGAAGAGUUUUCAAGCUUAGAUCAAGUUUUGGGAACUUGGGGACCCAAGGAGUUGGUUUCUCCCAUCUCCAAGUUAGAACUCGCACAAACCCUCGAUCUUCAAGAGGUAAGUGUGGAUCUAUGCUUUCUUUUAUGAUUCAUGAAGUUUUAAGUAAGUUUUAAGAGGUUUUAAUGGUUAAGUAUGGGUAGAUAUACAUGUUAGGCUUUAUGUGGGUUUUUAUGCAAAUGUAUGUUUAUAUAUGUUUAUGUGAUGAUAUGUAGGAGGUUUAAGCUAGUCUAUGCAUGUGGGAGUGAGUAUGCAUGAUGGGGAGAGAGUAUGUGAGGAUUUGGGUUGUUUUGAUGGUUUUGGCUUAUGUGAGUCAUAAGCUAUUUAUGUAUGUUUUUUAUGUUCUUUGUUGGAGUUUAAGCUUGUUUAAGCUCCUUUGUGCAUGGUUAAGGGUUUAUGCAUGUUUUGGAAGGUUUGGAGGCUGUUGUGCAUGUGAAAGCUGAGUUCUGCCCUUCUGGGAAGAACUCAGGUUCGGCCGCCGAAAGUAGUUUCGGCCGCCGGACCUGCCUGUGGUAGCUUGUUUUGGCUGCCGAACCCUGCCCUCGAAAGUUGGAUUUUCGGCUCUGGAAGGGAGUUUCGGCCGCCGAAGGUGCCGCCGAACAUGCAUGAGUUUCGUCUCUGGAAAGGGGUUUCGGCCGCCGAACCUGCCGCCGAAAGUGCCCUGUCCAGCCUUUUCAUGGUUGUUUUCUAUGCAUGUUUAAGUGAUAUUUUAGAGGGUUUUUGGGGAGUUGUUUAUGAGUUGUUUAGAGUGUGUUGGCACCUCAUUCGAGUCCACCUGUGUAGGAUCGGACCCGAGGGAUCGAGGAGGCCAUCAGUGUUAGCAGUUGCAGAGUCUGUUCAGCGUCUGCCAGAGGUGAGUAGAACUAAACUUAAUCUUUUAUUUUAUGAAAUUCAAAUGCCUAAAGCAUGUUCAUGCAUCAUGUUUAUAUGUAAUAGGUUGAUUGCACUAGUUACACGAAUAUGACGCAUUGCAUUAUUUACUGUUGAUGUGGAUGGACCAAGGCGACCCCAAUAGCUCUAGCUAUGUUAUGAUAAUGAAGUCUUGAGGAGCCCCUUGAGGGCCGGGCAUAAUGAAGUCCUGAGGAGCCCGAAGGGCCGGGCACCAUGUUAUGUUACAGACAGAGGGAGUUUUGGUGGUCAUGUCCAAUCCGUUAUGUGAAAUGUUUGUGCUGUGACGCAUUUCAUGAAAGCAUGUAAUUAAUGAACUGUUUUCUUUGUUUCUACUCACUGGGCUUUUUAGCUCACCCCUCUCCCCUAACCCCAGUGUUGCAGGUUUGAGGUCGUUCGGGAAGUCUCAAGAGUAAAGGUUUUGCUUAUGUAAUAGUAUUAGACUAGUACUUUUAGUGUGGACAUGUAUCGUAAAUUGAUAUAAUGUUUUGUAAGAGAUUGUAAUGUAAUUAAAGUAGAGUUAUGUUUAUGGAUUAGUACUGUGCUUGGCCCUAAGACUUGGUUAGUCCCUGUUUAAUACAUGAUGUAUGUUAUGUUUAGUGUUGAGUUGAGUUUGAACCAAACUGGUGGCAUGUAUUGUUUACCACUUUAGAGUUUGAUGAGGACCCUAGUAGAGGUCUUAUGUUUGUGGUUUGAUGCAUGCACAGGUUAGAUUCUAGUGCUUUGGAUGUGAUCCCAGCUUGAUGUAUGUUAUGUUGACCCAGCUAGAGUUUUGAUGAGGGCUCUAGUAGGGGGUUUCUUUAUGUUUUCAGUUAUGUCGCAUACAGGUCAGGCUCGGUAUGUACAUCAGAUGUUAAAGUUUUGAUCAUGUAUGGGAUUUGACCAGGUGAUAGGAAGUAUGUUUGGCUUGCUACGGGUCCCGACGGCCUUAAGCCGAUCUGGACCCUAGCGCCGGUAGCGGUUCGGGUCGUUCUAGAGGAGUAUCGGUUUCCGGGCUGUUACAGAGUGGUAUCAGAGCUUUGGGCCUCAUCAGUACGGUGUGUUGAGCAAAGAUGCUCAAGGAUUAGAGGUAUCCCACAUCGGAACGAGGUUGGUUUAGAGGUCAUGGAAGGGCAAGCACAAUAGGAGGAAUCAUGUCCACUAGGAUAGGAUGUAGGGUCCUGUCUUGUUUGAUGAUGAUGUGAAAUGCCAUGAUUUUAUGCAUGUGCAUUAAUGUUAUGUAUGUUAUGUGAUGCAUGCUAUGUAUGUUGCAUGUUCAUGUGUUUUCAUAUGAACCGUAGGAUGCUAAUGAUUGAUUGUAUGCUUGUGUGUUGUCCUUCAGAGGAGCCAUAAUGCAAGGUGCUCGUCGAUCUGUGGAAUCGACUGGAGUUCCAUCUGAGAGGGAAGGUUUGGACACCUUUCCCCCUGCUCUGCCAAGAGCGCAGUCAUGGUGAGUCAGCAGAUGGGGAACAUCAAGGGACCCUGGAAGGUCUUUUGAUGUAAGCUGAGAAGGAAUGGCUCCAAGAAGGAUGUCAGCUAGUAUGAGGGAAGUAGAGUCGGAUGUUUAGAGAAGGGAUGUCAGUUUGGGAAUCAGAGUGCCGGAGGAAGGUAUGGGAGAUUCUCAGGAGGAUGCUCAGACUCAGGAUUCCAGGAUCUCAGGUUCAGGAGGGAUUGAUCCCUCCACUUUGAGUACAGCCUCCACAAAAAGUAAGAAGUGGGGCAGAGGCCUCAGAAAGUCGAAGAAGAAAUUUUGGCAGAAUCUGAAAUCUAGUAUGGGUUUUGGUGGUGGCUCCAGCUCUGGCUCAGGCAAUUCAAGAUGCUUAAGGUGCGGUAGGCCGCAUAAGGGAGUCUGUCUGAUUGGGACUAAUCUAUGUUUUAGAUGCGGUCAGGAAGGGCACAUGGUACGUGAGUGUCCCAUUGCGCCCUGGUUGGCACAGUCUUAGCGGACAACUUCAGGUAGAGCGGCUCAGCCAACAGCUCCAGCCAUGGUUCAGGUUAGUGGUUGAGGCAGAAGGAGAGGGUCAGUCCCUCAUUCUUCAGGUUCCUGUGGAGAAGGUCCGUCAGCUUCAGCUCGGAUCUUCACCCAAGCUCAGCAAGAGGCAGACACAUUGAACACAGUGGUGCCAGGUACGCUCACUUUUGAAUGUUCUGAUGUGUAUAUUUUGUGAACUCUGGUGGUUCUCUUUCUUUAGUUGCUCUAGGAGCCGUCGAGAGGUUGAGUUGAUAGCUUCUGGGCUAGAGUGUUCUCUUUGGGUCAGUGGACCCGAGUGUGAUCCAUCUGUGGCAGAGUCAGUCUGCCGGUUCAGUUCUGUGUCAGUUGGGGGUAGAUGCCUUCCACCCGACUUUGAGGUCCUAGACUUGACUGUCUGGACGUCAAUCAAGGGAUGGAUUGGUUUCUGCUCGUGGUGCUAUCUUGGUCUGUAGAGACGAGGUAGUCAAGUUCAGAGGACAGGAUGGGUCAGAGGUAGUCUGUUGAGGGAACAGUAGGGAUGCCUAGGGGUUUGAUGUCAGCCUGUCAGGUUCGUAGGGUGCAUAGGAGGGGUUGUCAGAGGGUUUUAGCUCUUGUCUGAGAGUUUAGCAGUCGGGUCAGGGAACCAGUCUCAGUGCCAGUUGUUUAGAGAGAGCUAGUUGUUAGAGCAGUUGCGAGACUUGGUAGACAAGGGUUUUAUCCGACCUAGUACCUCACCCUGGAUUGCUCCAGUGUUGUUGUGGGAAAAGCAGGAUGGAUCCUUGAGACCCUGUGUCGACUAUAAGCAGUUGACCAAGGUCACUACCAAGGGCAGGUAUUCCCAUUCAGGAUUGAUGACCUAUUGGAGCAACUAGUAGGAGCUGGUUGUCUUCCAAUAUAGAUCUGAAAUCCGGGUACUACCUGUGAGAGUUAGAGUUAGUUUUGGGUUAGCAGUGAGAAGAAGCUAGUUAGUGAAGAUGAAGAGAAAAGAGAAAGGAUCAGAGUAGCGCUUUGGAAGCGUGUUGAGUUUCAGGAGAAGGUUGGGUAUUGCUAAGGUGUGUCUAGAAGACCCGGGAGUUCUUACUCCAGCAGUGCCUGUGUCUUUCUUUCAGGAGAGAGAUUUUUAGGUUUUGCUUGCUGGUUUGCUUGCUUGUGUAUGUAUGCUUGAUGCUAUGUUUUAAGAAUGCGUGUUUGUUUGUUUUAACAUUCGAGGACGAAUGUUUUUAAAGGAGGGAAGAUUGUAAUACCCGGCUAGAUUCCGGCAUCGGAAUCCCUACCUUUCGGCGGAAUCUCCGUUGGAAUCUAGAAUUCUGAAGAUGCCAGAGGCUUCUAGAGGGGUAAAAUGUGUUUUCUAAAAGGUUUUUACUGAUUUCAUGGUUUUAAAUGAAAAAGAAUUGAGUUUUGAAAAAGAAAAGACCAAGGAGGCAUUUGCCAGGUUCAGCCGCCGAAAGUGAAGUUCGGCCGCCGAACAUGGGAAGGCUUGGGAGCUCUUUUGGCCUCCGAAAGCUUUGUUUGAGCGAGCCAAGGUUCGGCCGCCGAACCUCAAGUUCGGCCGCCGAACUUGCAUGAGUUUAGGGGGCACGUUAGGCUGCCGAAGGUCUUCGACCAGGCCACCUAUAAAGGGCCCUCAGAUCGGAAAUGGGCGAGUUUUCUCCCUAUUCUCGAGCUCAGGUGAGUUUUUGUCCUCCUUUGGCCAUUUUCAUGUUUUUCUUCAUCUCCUUCAUGUUUUCAUGAGUUUUAUGGCUGUUUUGAAGAGUUUUCAAGCUUAGAUCAAGUUUUGGGAACUUGGGGACCCAAGGAGUUGGUUUCUCCCAUCUCCAAGUUAGAACUCGCACAAACCCUNNNNNNNNNNNNNNNNNNNNNNNNNNNNNNNNNNNNNNNNNNNNNNNNNNNNNNNNNNNNNNNNNNNNNNNNNNNNNNNNNNNNNNNNNNNNNNNNNNNNNNNNNNNNNNNNNNNNNNNNNNNNNNNNNNNNNNNNNNNNNNNNNNNNNNNNNNNNNNNNNNNNNNNNNNNNNNNNNNNNNNNNNNNNNNNNNNNNNNNNNNNNNNNNNNNNNNNNNNNNNNNNNNNNNNNNNNNNNNNNNNNNNNNNNNNNNNNNNNNNNNNNNNNNNNNNNNNNNNNNNNNNNNNNNNNNNNNNNNNNNNNNNNNNNNNNNNNNNNNNNNNNNNNNNNNNNNNNNNNNNNNNNNNNNNNNNNNNNNNNNNNNNNNNNNNNNNNNNNNNNNNNNNNNNNNNNNNNNNNNNNNNNNNNNNNNNNNNNNNNNNNNNNNNNNNNNNNNNNNNNNNNNNNNNNNNNNNNNNNNNNNNNNNNNNNNNNNNNNNNNNNNNNNNNNNNNNNNNNNNNNNNNNNNNNNNNNNNNNNNNNNNNNNNNNNNNNNNNNNNNNNNNNNNNNNNNNNNNNNNNNNNNNNNNNNNNNNNNNNNNNNNNNNNNNNNNNNNNNNNNNNNNNNNNNNNNNNNNNNNNNNNNNNNNNNNNNNNNNNNNNNNNNNNNNNNNNNNNNNNNNNNNNNNNNNNNNNNNNNNNNNNNNNNNNNNNNNNNNNNNNNNNNNNNNNNNNNNNNNNNNNNNNNNNNNNNNNNNNNNNNNNNNNNNNNNNNNNNNNNNNNNNNNNNNNNNNNNNNNNNNNNNNNNNNNNNNNNNNNNNNNNNNNNNNNNNNNNNNNNNNNNNNNNNNNNNNNNNNNNNNNNNNNNNNNNNNNNNNNNNNNNNNNNNNNNNNNNNNNNNNNNNNNNNNNNNNNNNNNNNNNNNNNNNNNNNNNNNNNNNNNNNNNNNNNNNNNNNNNNNNNNNNNNNNNNNNNNNNNNNNNNNNNNNNNNNNNNNNNNNNNNNNNNNNNNNNNNNNNNNNNNNNNNNNNNNNNNNNNNNNNNNNNNNNNNNNNNNNNNNNNNNNNNNNNNNNNNNNNNNNNNNNNNNNNNNNNNNNNNNNNNNNNNNNNNNNNNNNNNNNNNNNNNNNNNNNNNNNNNNNNNNNNNNNNNNNNNNNNNNNNNNNNNNNNNNNNNNNNNNNNNNNNNNNNNNNNNNNNNNNNNNNNNNNNNNNNNNNNNNNNNNNNNNNNNNNNNNNNNNNNNNNNNNNNNNNNNNNNNNNNNNNNNNNNNNNNNNNNNNNNNNNNNNNNNNNNNNNNNNNNNNNNNNNNNNNNNNNNNNNNNNNNNNNNNNNNNNNNNNNNNNNNNNNNNNNNNNNNNNNNNNNNNNNNNNNNNNNNNNNNNNNNNNNNNNNNNNNNNNNNNNNNNNNNNNNNNNNNNNNNNNNNNNNNNNNNNNNNNNNNNNNNNNNNNNNNNNNNNNNNNNNNNNNNNNNNNNNNNNNNNNNNNNNNNNNNNNNNNNNNNNNNNNNNNNNNNNNNNNNNNNNNNNNNNNNNNNNNNNNNNNNNNNNNNNNNNNNNNNNNNNNNNNNNNNNNNNNNNNNNNNNNNNNNNNNNNNNNNNNNNNNNNNNNNNNNNNNNNNNNNNNNNNNNNNNNNNNNNNNNNNNNNNNNNNNNNNNNNNNNNNNNNNNNNNNNNNNNNNNNNNNNNNNNNNNNNNNNNNNNNNNNNNNNNNNNNNNNNNNNNNNNNNNNNNNAGCUUGAUGUAUGUUAUGUUGACCCAGCUAGAGUUUUGAUGAGGGCUCUAGUAGGGGGUUUCUUUAUGUUUUCAGUUAUGUCGCAUACAGGUCAGGCUCGGUAUGUACAUCAGAUGUUAAAGUUUUGAUCAUGUAUGGGAUUUGACCAGGUGAUAGGAAGUAUGUUUGGCUUGCUACGGGUCCCGGCGGCCUUAAGCCGAUCUGGACCCUAGCGCCGGUAGCGGUUCGGGCCGUUCUAGAGGAGUAUCGGUUUCUGGGCUGUUACAAUUCCGCUUAGAAUUGUCUAUGAAAGUGAAGGCAACCUGAUCAGCGAUAUUCUUUUCAUACUAACGGAAAAAAGAUGUAGAAUAUCUUCACGACAAAUGCCACAUUUCUCGAGAAAUCUUCCGAGUCUUCGCUCCUUUUUCGAGUGUCUGUGCAAAUGAUCGGAUCCCUGUGAAGGAUACCAUCAUAGUCAACGAAGAGCAAUUGAAGGCAGGUCUUCGGUUCCCCAUGGACCCCUUUUUUACCGAGGUCCUCCGAUUUCACAAACUGUCAAUCGCCUAGCUACACCCCAACAGUUGGAGAAUCAUAGUGGCCUUCUGAUUUGUUUGUUUUAAUAAUAAUAUUGAGCCGAGCGUGACCCUUUUCUCUCAGCUGUACUAGCUGGACACUCGAAAAAACGAAGAGUUCUAGUUUUUCAGUGGGAGGAAAUGCCAGACACCAUUUAACUGGAUACCUUCUUCCCUAAAGUGAUGGAAGAACAAGUUUUUUAUCCUCCGCUACCGAGUGUCUGAGGGUUUUCGUCGCCUUCAAAUGAGCUGGAACAUAUGGGUAGAGUUAAGAAAGGAUGGGGUUCAGCCAUGGAGGAAUGAGGAAGAGACUUUGGACUUCCUCUAAAUGAUGGCCACAUCCUAGAAGAUAGACAUCCUCAAGGUGAUGAGGAAUGUCAUUUUGUCCUGGCAGAGCCAACCCCCAGCGAGCCAAACUCGGGAUCCUCACCCACCUAACGUUCCUUGUCUUGGGGAAAACAUCUCUCUAGCCAUUGAGCAGGGUAUCUGUCUUUCUAGCCCUUUUUGUAUUUCAAACUGCCUUACUCACUUUUUGUUUUAUGCAGAUAUGGUAAGGUCAAAGAAUUUCACCGAGGCAGCAUGUGUUGUCCUUAAGGGCAAAGCUAUUGCUGGUCCACGCCUCCACCCAAGCAUGCCCGUCGCACCGAGAAAAUCAUCAUGUUUCCUCCUCCUCCUUCCCCUCCCGCGACUGAAGAAUCGACUCCCAUUUAGCCCGAGUCUUCUAUAAGGGAUACUCCUCUUGCAGCUGCUAUUCAAAAUGAUGCUCCGUAAGGAGCUGAUGUUAAAGCCAUAUGGCCUAAGAAUUUUCAGCACCUGACGUUGGCUUUGAUCCAUUCCACUUCCCUUCUCGAGGAGCGUCGCCUGUCUGUUCUAAUCGCCAAGAGCGCUCUAGGGCCCAAGGAUCACUACCGAUUGAAUGAGGUCGAGACCGAUGACCUCUAUGACAACAUUAUGCGCUAACACUUUGUAAGUAUAUUAGUCAGUGGCACAUAAUAUAUUAACUUAUUACCUCUACACUCACACAAUGACUUUUGGCAUAAUGAGGAUUAAAGUGUUAGCGCAUAAUCUCAUAUGGAUUGCAUGUUUCUUAGUGCAUCAGACCUUGGUCACUUUAUCAAAUUUAAAUUAGAAAUUCUGUAAAACGCAUUAUAUGCAAAUUGACUUCCUAUAAAAAGAUAGUUAUCACCUAUUAUAACUGAGCAUCUUUGUUCAAGAGACAAAAGAUCAAGCAAGCUCAAACUUAGUUAAUGAAAUAUCUUUUCACUUAUAGUAUAUUGUACAUUAAUUAUAAUAUCUUAGUUACUAUUCACAUUAAUUCCAACUUUAUAAUUUACGACAUAUUAAUCUUGUUUCUCUCGAGGAACAUUUUUAAAUUCUACUGCAACAUCUUCAAAAUAUUUUUUUUUAUUAGUCUUGCGUUUCUUACUCACCAAAAUGUGUAUCCUUAAGAAAAUUUUGGAUAUUUUCUGCAGUAGCCAACUCCACUAAAUUUCUUAUAAAUUUACAAUAUAGAGUUGCUAGUACAAUUACAGAAUAAAUGGUUAAGUCAUAUGAGUAAUAUACUAAUUUAUAUCAACUAAUAAUAAUAUUCCAGUACGUUGAUAGUCAUUAUUGCCAUCCUGACCAUCAUAUGACUUGGGUAUGAUGGAAGUAUAUUCCUAAAUAGUAAUGAGACUUUACACCGUGCAUGAAACUAUCUUGAUGUACUUACAAUAUUAAGAUAUGAUUUGCAUGCAGAAUUGUCGAUCAAUAUUGUAUUUGAAGGAUUAUACUCCAUGUAUAUUUCUCAAAACCUUGUCAAAUCAUUAAAAAUUAUUUUCUUUUAAGGAUUGCCAAGGAUCCUAAUCUUUGAAAUAGUGCAUUUAUCUUAAUUAUACAUAAUACAGUAAUACAAAUAAAAUGUUAGUUAAAAUUUUACCAAGAGAUAGAUUUUUUAUAUUAAAAGGGCACUUACCCAACAAUCACCUCUAUUUGCAAUUUUUUAUAUUGAUCAGAGACUUUUUCUUUGAUGACCAUAUUGCAAUAUUCACUGCACAAAAUUUUAAAAGCUCUUUGUAAAAUGGUCUAUAUGUCCCUUGCAGUGGACCUGAUUCAUUUUAUAAAAGUAAUCCAAUUAGUUUGCCAUUAAGAUAUAUAAAUUAGCUUUACAAUUUUAAGCAAACACAUGGAUCUUUCUAUUUCUAAUGUGUAUGCAAAAGCAAUUGACUGUGCGGUUGUCGAAAUCGAUAAAAAAUAACCUUUUUGGUUAUCUACAAUUUUACAACUGCAGAUAGUGGUAAAAUGAUCGAAUCCACAGGGAAUUGAUACUUACUUAUUUUUCUUAUCAAGACCAAAUAAAUAAACUGAAAGUAAAAUAAAAGGGGGGGGGGUUUUGAGAUUGAUAAAUUGAACUAAAAUUAAAAGCAAUAAAGUAAAGCAAAUAAUUAAAGUAAAGAAGAUUUAAAUAUGAGAAAAGCUCUAGUUGAAGAAUUGGAUUCACUUCAGUUGUUAGGAUUGAUCAUUAACACUUAGAUUCCUUUGUUUGAUUUAAUAAAUUAGUUAUGAAGAUGAAAGACGUUUCUCACCACCAUAUCUCUCCUUAAGCAUAAAUCAAUUAGGGAACAUUCUCUAAUUAAUUAUUAAUCAACAAGUUGUCAAGGAACAUGUUUGGGCCUUUGGCAUUUAACAACUGUCAAUUGCACUAAGAAUAGAGAGGCCUAAUUCUAGCUACCCAAAUGUAUGGUGAUAUUGCUAGAUCAUGCAAUUUUCUUAGUUUUUACACCAAGAGUUACUUGUGUUUGAAUAAUUCAAGUAAUUACGGACUUAAAACUAUCCAAACUAACAAAUUAUUACAUUGCAAUCAAGAAUCAAUUGGCCCUAUUGAUCUAAACCACAAAGCAACAAUGGAAUUAAGCAUGAAAUUGCAUAAAUAUUGAUAAACAAAAGAUAACCAACGUAUGUUCAGAUCUCCCAAUCCAUGAAACAACUAAAGUUUCACCUAAUCUUCAACUAGAAAAAGAGGUUUCAGCCACUCAUGACUGAAACAAAACAAAAAAAUAAAAGAAAGAGAAGAAGAAGAAGAAGUGGCUGGCGACUUGGAGAAGGAGGCGUCUUGCAAUCCGAAGGUGUGUCUAAGGAAGGGCGUGCAACUCUUCAUGUGAUGCUUUUAUAGCUGAAAGUGUUGCCCUAAGUUUCCUUGUUAAGGUGGAGCUUUCUUUUGAAUUUUGAAUGUCUUUUUUUGAAUUUUGAAUUCUUGAGAGGCAAGUGCAUCUCCUUGAGAUUUGGCUUCCUUAAUAAGGGAAAGACUUCUUGAAGAUUUGAAAUUUGAAUUUCAAAUUACUCUGGUGUCUGUACUUUCCUUAUUUAUCUUCACUUCAGCUGCAACUUGGCUUGGGCAAACAAUGCUUGUUCUCCUUUAUUCUAUUUUAGGCAGUUUUAAAAGCAUUUUCAUCAAAUUACCUCUUUACAUCGUUUUCUGCAAAUUAAGAUCAAAAGCACAAUAUUAGACAGAAAAUGUGUAAAUUAACAUUAAUAACAACAUGAUAAAUGGGUCUAAAUUUGGUCUGAUCAGCAAUCCAUUCAAGUCUAAAAUGAGAAGGUUUUUACGUGACGUAUUACUCACUUUCAGAUGAUAAUUUAAGAAAUCUAUUAAUCCAUUUAUUGCAAUUUUCCAAACUAUGAAUUUUCUUGCAAUUAAACUAUCUACCUAUAUAUAUAAAGCCUCACAUCAGGCUCUAUAUAUUAAAAAAAAAAACUAUUCUACAACAAGAAUAACAUUGUUCUUUAUAUUUACAGAAUUUGGAAAUGAGAGUUGAUAUCCUUUCGCCCAAUAUUGCAUAAUCUUAAAAAUGAGAGGCUUAAAAUAACUUCCAUCAAGUUGUUUUGGAAUGUACUUAAUAAGAUAGAAAGUCCAUUAGCGGUUCUUUUUAAUAUAAUAGUUGACAAGACAUCCCUAUACCCAAAGAAAAAAAAAAUCACUACUACAUUCAUCUAAUGUUCUUUCAUAGUAAGAUGAGUUACAAUUAAUCAAGUAAGUUUAAACUUAGUUAAUGAAAUAUCUUUUCAUUUAUAGUAUAUCAGUACAUUAUUUAUAGUAUAUCAGUUACUGUUUAUAUAAGUUCCAACUUUACAAUUUACAACAUAUUAAUAUUUUUUCUCCAAAGGAAUAUUUUUAAAUUCUGUUGCAACAUCUUUAUAAUAUUUUCUUCCAUCAGAGUCUUGAUGUCUUGCUCACCAAAAUGGGUAUCCCUAAAAUCUUUAACAUUUUCUGAAGCAGUCAACUCCAUUAAAUUUCUUAUAAAUUUACCAUAAGAAGCUACAAGUACAAUUACAGAACAAAUAAGCUAAUAGUAACAUACUAGUACUUAGAUAGACAUCAUUGUUAUCCUAACCAUCAUAUGACUUGGGAAUGAUGGAAGUAUAUUCUCAAAUAGUGAUGAGACAAGGAAAAGAUAAAAAAGAGUAUCAUUAGAUCCAAAUAAAAUAAUACAUCGCAAGUGAAAACCAACUUGAUGUACUUACAACAUUAAAAUAUGAUUUGUAUGCAUAAUCGUCAAUCAAUAUUAUAUUUGAAGCAUUAUAUUCUGUGUAUAUGUCCUAAACUCUUAUCAAAUAUUUAAAUGUUAUUUUCUAUUGAUGAUUGCCAGGGCCACAAUUAUUAAAAUGGUGCAUUUUUCUUGAGUCUGCAUAAUAUAGUAAUACAAAUAUAAUAUUAUUCUAAAUUCUACUAAGAGAUAGAUUUACAUUAAAGAGGAACUUACUCAACAAAAGAGGAAUUUAAGUCCCUCCACCUUUAUUUGCAGUCUUUUACAUUAACCAAAGACCUUUUUCUUUGAUGACCAUAUUGUAACAAUGAACUUCAUUGAGUAAAAUUUCAAAAACUCUUUGUAAAAUAGGCUACAUGUCACUUCUGGUUGACCUAAUUCAUUUUAUAAAAACAAUCCAUUAGUUUGCCAUUAAAAUGCAUAAAUUAGCCUUAUAAUUUUAAGCAAACUAAUUGAUCAAGCAUAAUUUAGCCACAUUUUUAUUAUGUUUAUCACUGUUUAAAUACACAUUUUUCUAGCUUAAUUUAUGUUUUUGUUAUGUUUUUGUAGAAAAAGAAGAAAAUGGAAAGUUUGAGAAAAAGUGCAGAAAAAGCUGGAAAAGUGAUUGGGUCAAAGUGAUUUGGCCAAAUCACCCACAGAAAUCAGAAACAGGAAGCUAAAGCAGAAAUCUGGAGGCAACACACAGAAACGAUUUGGGCAAGUGAUCUGUCCAAAUCACCCGCCCAAAUUACAUUGACGCACAGAAACAGCAGAAGCGAGAAAAGUGCAGAAAACUGAAAUUCAAAAGCAAAGAAGCCCAAAUCCAUUUCAAACACUCCAAGAUCAGUCCCUUAAGCCACGAGGAAGUCUUUUCACUUGAGGAAAUCCAUUCACAAUUAAAUACAAGAUCCAAAGAGGAAUCAAAGACCACAAAAGACCAAGUCAAGAUGGGAAUUUUCAAACCCUAAUUGGAUUAAAAUUCUCCAGCUAUAAAAAGGACAGCUUCCAACCCAGCAGAUCAUCAUCUCUUCACCAUCAUCUCCUCUCCCUCAUUGGAAUUCAUUGCAGAUUUUCGGCAGACUUCUCCUUCUUCUUUUCUUCUAUCUUUUUGUGUAAUUUUGUCCACCAUGAGUGGCUAAACACUUCUCUUUUCUAGUUGAAGUUGGAAAAUUCAGAUUUGUGAUGAAUUGGGAGAUUUAAAACUCUAUUAUUAAACUCUUGUUUACUUUCAAUAUUUAUGCAACUUGAUCUUUCUAUAAAUUAUUGCUUUGCUUUUAGAAUCAAUUAAGGCCUGUUGCUUUUAAAUUGUAUGAGUAAUAAAUUAUUUGAAUGAUUUAGGUCUGUAAUUGCUUAGAUUAUUUAAACACAAGUACAAUCAGUUGUAUAAUCUAAACUUGACAACGCGGUUGGCAAGGUUAGAGUUGGGUUUCUCUAAGUCCUAAUGCAGUUAACAGUUGUUCGAUGCUAAAAGCCCCAAGAACGUUCCUUGGCAACUUGUUAACUAGAGUUUGAUUAGCGAACGUUUCCUAAUCAAACUAAAACUAAGGAGGAAUUUGGAUUGUGAGACGCGUCUUCCAUGUCCUAAACUAACUUAUUCAAAUAAAUAAGAGUAUCAAAAAGGUCAAUGAUCAAUUCUAAACAAAUUGGAAUUCAUCCAUGCUUCAACUAGAAUCAUUUUCCCAUUGAAAUUCUUAUCCUUUUAAAUUAUUACUUUCUCUUGCUAUUUAGUAUUAACUCAUCAAAUCAAAACCCCCCCUCUUUUAAUUAUUUGUUAUUUACUUGUCCAAGUCAUUAAUAGGAAAAUUCAUAGCGUCAAAUCCCUGUGGUUCGACCCUAUUGCCACUAUUUACAAAUUAUUUUGUUGGUUAAUAAUAGGUUUAUUUUUUACGGUUUCGACGACCGCUAUCACUAAUGGACAUCUCUGUUUAUAUUGUGUAAGCAAACAUACUCCAUUCAAGUCCAAAAUGAGAAGCAUUUUAGAUAACAUAUUACUCACUUCCAGAUGAUAAUUCAAGGAGUAUAUUAGUUAGUUCAUUGCAAUCUGCUAAAUUAUAAAUUUCCUUGCAAUUAGACAACUAACCUAUACAUACAAGCCUCCCAUCAAGUUCUAAAUAUUUAAAAAAAAAAAAAACUAUUCUAUAAGAAGAAUAGCAUGGUUCUUCAUAUUUUCAGAAUUUGGAAAUGAAGGUGGUAUCCCUUCCCUUAACAUUGCAUAAUCUUCAAAGAGAGAGGUUUGCAACACUUAUCAUCAAAUUGUUUUCGAAUGUCUUUGACAAAAUAGAAAGUCCAUUGGCAAUUCUUCUUAAUUAAAUAGUUGACAAAGCAUCCCUACACUAAAAAAGAAAAAGAAAGAAUAAAAAUCACUUCUGCAUUAAUAUAGUGUUCUUUCAUAGUAAGAUAAGUUAUAAUUAAUCAAGCAAGUUUAAACUUAGUUAAUAAAAUAUCUUUUCAUUUAUAGAAUAGUAGUAUCAGUUAUUGUUCAUAUCAUUUCCAAUUUUCCAAUUUACAAUAUUUUAUUCUUCUUUCUCUUAAGGAACAUUUUUAAAUUCAAUUGCAGCAUUUUUAUAAUAUUUUUUUUGUUGGAGUCUUGUGUGUCUUGCUUACCAAAAUGGGUAUUCCUUAUAAAAUCUUGGACAUUUUCUACAGCAGCCAACACUAAAUUUUUUUUAUAAAGUUACCGUAAGGAGCUUCAAGUACAAUUGCAAAAUAAAUGCUUAAACUAUAUGAGUAAUAUACCAAUUUAUAUCAACUAAUAGUAAUAUACGAGUAUCUAGAUAAUCAUCAUUGCCAUCCUAACUAUUAUAUAACUUGAAGAUAGUGAAAGUAUAUUUUUAAAUGGUGAUAAGACAAGGAAAAGAUAAAAGGAGCAUCACACAUGAAAACUAACUUGAUAUACUUACAGUAUUAAGAUAUGCUUUGUAUAAAGAAUCGUCAAUCAAAAUUGUAUCCGGAGCAUUAUACUCCAUAUACAUUUUCCAAACUCUUGUCAAAUCUUUAAAAAAUAUUUUCUUUUGAGAAUUGCUAAGGACUGCAAUAUUUGAAAUGGUGCAUUUAUCUUGAUUUUUCAUAAUAUAAUAAUACAAAUAAAAUGUUACCCAAAAUUCUAUCAAGAGAUAGAUUUUUUGAUGUUAUAGAGUAACUUACCCAACAAAAGAAGAAUUUAAGACCCCCUUCUCUAUUUGCAGUCUUUUUACAUUGAUUAAAUACCUUUUUCUUUGAUGGCCAUAUUGCAACAACGAAUUUCAUUGAGCAAAAAUUCAAAAAUUUUUUGCAGAAUGGUCUAUAUGUCACUUCCAGUAGACUUUAUUCAUUUUAUAACAACAAUCCAAUUAGUUUGCCAUUAAAAUAUAUAAAUUAGCUUACAAUUUUAAGCAAACCAGUGAACCUCUCUGUUUCUAUUGUAUAUGCAAAAGCACUCCGUUUGAGUCCAGAAUGAGAAGCUAUUUAAGUGAUAUAUUACUCUCUUUCAAAUGAUAAUUCAAGGAAUCUAUUAGCUAGUUCAUUAUAAUCUCCCAAAGUAUAAAUCUCCUUGUACUUAGACAAACAACCUAUACAUACAAAGCCUCACAUCAGGUUCUAUAUAUUAAAAAAAAAACUAUCCUAUAACAUGAAUAGCACAGUUCUUCAUAGUCAAAGAAUUUGAAAAUGAGGGUUGAUAUUCCUUCCACCAAUAUUGCAUAAUCUUCAACAAGCGAGGUCUGCAACAAUUAUCAUUGAGUUAUUUUGGAAUAUCAUUGACAAGAUAGAAAGUCUGUUGACAAUUCUUGUUAUAAUAAAUUACAUUUUAGUCCUUAAGUUUUAGUGUAAUUAAUGGAUCAAUCUUUACUAUUUUUAAAAUUGAACACUUAAAACCUUGAGUUUUGAUUCCUUUAAAAUUUGAAGUCCUCCUGUUUAUAAAAUCUAUCAAGUUGACAAUAAAAAGGAUGAAAAAUAUUUUAAAUUUCAAAAAUACCUCAUCAUUUUUUACACACCAAACUCUCAUCUCAUCCAUUUCUCUAAAGGCCCCCUUCUUUCAUAUCAUCAUCAGCAAGUGUCCCCUUCUUUCUCCUUCAAUUAUAGUUGUCCUAUCUCAACCCCCUCUUCUUCCUCCUCCUCCAUUCUUUCUUGAUCUCAUUUCUUGCCUUUUUCCCUUUCUCACAGCAUCAUAAUUUUCAUUGCUCUAAUACUUUGUGCUAUCUUCCUUCUCGAACUUGAUUGUGCCCUUAUGAUGGCUACCCUAGUCCUUGGAGGAAGCCGAUUCACAACCAUUCUAUGAAAAAUCUCUAAGGACAAGGAUUUAAUCCAUUAAUUGAUCUAGAAAGAUAAACUCUAAAUGAUGGCAUAAAGAGGCUUUAACAUGAGAAAGAAUGUGUAUCUUGGAGUUAUAAAGACAUGAACAGGAGAGAUAAGAAUUUGAGAUGCAAUGCAAUUUUUAAAGUAGCAAUUACAACAAAUGGAGUGAAGAAAACAAACUAUGGUGUCUUUUGUGGCUCAAGUCUUAAAAAUAAAAGCCAUGGGUUUGCUCUAAAUCUCAUGUCACAGUUGGAACAAUUUGAGUAAUUGGAGUCAUCUCUAACAUUAUAGGAGAGUAUUGCCAAAUGAUGUCCAAAACAAAAUGCAAAGCAAUUCAAUUUGGAGUUGGAUGAAUAUACAAGCUGCUGAAAUCCAACUUCAUCUUGAGUUCAAUUUAGUAUUGAUAUUUGGCCCGAAUCUCUUAGAAUCAACAUGAAUUAUGAGCAUGUUGUAGCUUCAGUUCUAGAUCUUGAUCCCCCUAAUUAUUGACUAAGAAUCCAUGUUAUUCAAUCUAAAAGAAAAGAUUUUGGUGAUAGAAAAAAAAGAGAGAUUAUUUAUAAUAAUGAGUUUCAUGGGAUUGACAUUAUAUAAUAAGCAUGUAAUUUGCAAAAUUUAUAGAUUGUUUUUAAUAUUUUUUUUUGUUUGCAAGGAAAAUUUUUUUAUGCAUAUAAGGAGUUUGAAAAAAUGUUUGUUAGAAACUAAGUAAUGCAUGCUUAUUGUGUAUGAGAGUAUUAGAAUUUUUAAUGAGUUCUGAACUAAAUUGGGGGUAUUUGUUAGUAUAUUUGCCCUAAGUCGUUAUAUUGGACCUUUUGUGUGUCAUUUUAUUUAUUAAUAAAAUGGAUUUUAUUAUUAUUAUUUAUUUGUAUGUUACAUAAUAAUUAUUAACAUCUCCGAUUACUUAUUAUUAUGAUGAUAAUAAUAUAAUAUGACUAGUAUGAUUAUUUAUUGAUAAUCAUGAGAUGAUUAUGUAUAUGUUGAUAUAAAUCAAUAAUCAUAGACACUUAUUAGAGAAUAAAGUAUUGGAUGAAUCCACAUUGCGAUUAUUAUAUGGGUUAUUGUCAUAAGUGAAUCCCAAGAUAGUUAUGUUUUAAUCAUUUGACUUGAGAUUGUCAUAGUUUUCAACAUAAGGACUGUUAUGUUUUGACAUAACCAAACAUUGUCUUUAAUCGGAUAAUCAUAAAGGUUAUGAUUGAGCAUAAUAUAAAUUAUGUAGAGGAUAUUGAACAAUCAAGAUAGAAUUUCUCCCUCUCUUUGAGAGAGAUAUCUUCUGGGUUCCUCGAUAAGUGAGACUGAGAAAUGCAUGUUCAUGCUCAAAUGAAUUGAUAAUAUGAUCAAUAUCAUUUGGUUUUAUCAGUCUACUUAGAGAUCGAGAAAUUAUAAGUUUGAAUAUUAUAACUUUGACAUUGACCAUGACUUAUGUUCAAACUAGAUAUUGUGUGACAAAGAGAUUAAUACAUGUUUUGUUUAUUAGGCUUUAUCAGACUAUCGAUCUUCAUAUUAGUUGGGUAGUCAUAACAUCUUGCUAGAGGCCGCUUAUGAUUUAUGAGUCUUGUUGGACUGAGUCUAUUGCCAAUUAAUGUGAGCCUAUUAGAUCACACACAAACGAACGUUAUUGAUGUGUUAUGUCAUAUUAAUGGACUAAGAGCUCGUUAGUAUAAUUAAUAAUAAUAUUAAUAAAGAUGUUAUUAUUAUUAAUAUUAAUUAUUUGUAAUUAUUAUAAGAUAAUAAUAUUUAAAAAAUCUGCAACCUAUCUAUACCGGUUACAGAUAAAAGGUCUUUUCGUUUUGUUUUGAAAAGAAUUUAUUACACAGAUAUCUUGGUAUUUACAAUCAUGUGCCUAUUACCAUGAUCACAACUCUUUUACAAAAAGAAAAGAGUGAAAAGAAAAGAUUUUGAGAGAAAACAAGUGAACAGAAAACACCUUCUUUGAGAGCUUUACAGAAAGCGUGAUGAGGGUUUUUGUAAUCGUUUUUUGUGUUGCAAAUUUGGAGUACAUAGCUAAUCCAUCCAUUCAGAAAGCUAGCACUCCAAAUAGAAACGUUCGUGUGAAUACCAUUGAGGGUGUUCUUUUCAGAAGCAGCACCAUUAGUUUGGAAUGAAAACGUAAAUUUACAGUCUUGAUAGGAUUUUUGAAAUCUAAAAGAUUAGUUUCUUUAUUCUUCUUUUUGAAUUAAACGAAACACUCGAAUCUUGAAAAGAAAACAAAGAUCUUUUAUUUUUUGCUGCAUAAUUUUGGGUUGCGGUGACCUCUGGGCUUCCUUAUAGUAUUAUGAAUAAUUUUUAUUUUAUUAACGGCUAUUUAAUAGAAGGAAAUCUAAUUUGGAUGGAAUAAAAACUUAAAGGUUUAAGUGCUCGAUUUUUUUAAAAAAAAUUACUAUUUAGUCCAUAUGUUGCAUAAAAACUCAUUAGUUGGUCCUUCUAUUUUAAAAAAUACAUUAAAAUGUCUCUGAAGUUUUAAAAAGUUUACUAAUUAAUCUCUCUAUUAAUUUUAGCCGUUAAAUAUUGUAAAAAAGUCUAAAAUAUCCAUAAUAUGAAACGACCAAUUAGUAGAUUUUUUAGAAAUCUAAGGGAUCAACUAAUGAGUUUUUUAAAAUUAUAGGGAUUAAAUAGUAAAAUACUUGACGACUAAAAUUAACGGAGUCACUGACUAGUAAAUAUUUUAAAAUAUUAGAGAUAUUUUAGUGCAUUUUUUAAAACCAAGGAACCAACUAAUGAGUUUAUCUAUAUCAUAGAGACUAAAUAAUAUUUUUUUUGUUCUUUUAAAAAUAGAGGGAUUAAUCCAUUUAUUAUACUAAAACUUUACGAUUAAAGUAUAAUUUGCCCUUCUUGUUAAUUAAAUAAUUGACAAGAUUCUCCUACACUAAAAAAGAAAAGGAAAAAAAGUCCUUACUGUAUUCAUCUAAUGUUCUUUGAUGAUAAGAUAACUUACAAUUAAUCAAGCAAGCUUAAACUUAACUAAUAAAAUAUCUUUUCAUUUAUAGUAUAUUAAUACUUCGAUUACAAUAUACAACUUACUAUUCAUAUCAGUUCUAACUUUACAAUUUACAAUAUAUUAAUUUUCUUUCUCCUAAAAAAAUUUUUAAAUUAUGCUACAACAUUUUCAUAAUAUUUUCUUUCAUUGGAGUCUUGUACUUCUUGCUCACUAAAAUGGGCAUCCCUAGUAAAAUAUUGGACAUUUUCUAUAAUAGCCAACUCUACUAAAUUUGCUACAAAUUUACUGUAAGGAGUUACAAGUAUAAUUAUAAAAUAAAUGCUUAAGCCAUACAAGUAAUAUAUCAGUUUAUAUAAGCUAAUAGUAAUAUACCAAUACCUAGAUAGUCAUCAUUACCAUCCUGACCAUCAUAUAACUUGGAGAAGAUAGAAAUAUAUUCCUAAAUAGUGAUUAGACAAUAAAAAUAAAUAAAAAAAAGCACUAUUGGUCCUAAAUAAAAUAAUACAUUGCAUAUGAAAACUAACUUGAUAUACUUAUAACAUUAAGAUAUGCUUUGUAUGUAGAAUUGUAAAUCAAUAUUAUAUUUGAAGCAUUAUACUUUGUGCGUAUUUUUCAAACCCUUAUCAAAUCUUUGAAUAUUAUUUGUUAUUAGAUUUGCUGAGAAUCCCAAUCUUUGAAAUAGUGCAUUUAUCUUUGUUUUAUAUAAAACAAUAAUAUAAAUACAGUGUUAACUAAAAUUCUAUUAAGCGAUAGAUUUUUUGAUAUUAAAGAGGAAAAUACCCAACAAAAGACCCUCCACCUCUGUUUGUGAACUUUAACAUUGAUCAAAGACUUUUUUUUUUCUUUGAUGGCCACAUUACAACAAUGAACUUGGUUGAGCAAAAUUUCAAAAACUCAUUGUAAAAUAGUUUGUAUAUGACUUCCGGUGGAUCUGAUCCAUUUUAUAAAAGCAAUUCAUUAGUUUGCCAUCAAAAUGUAUAACUUAACCUUACAAUUUUAAGCAAACCAGUGGACCUCUUUGUUUUCAUUUUAUAUGUGGCAUAUUAUUUAUUUCCAGAUGAUAAUUCAAGUAAUCUAUUAGUCGGUUCAUUGCAAUCUCCUAAGUUACAAAUUUCCUUGCAAUUAGGCAAUCAACCUACACAUACAAAACCUCACAUCAAGUUUUUUAUAUUAAAAAAAACUAUACUACAAAAAAAAAAAAACAUGGUUUUUCAUACUUAUAAAAUUUAGAAAUGAGGGUUGAUAUUCUUUCCCCCAAUAUUACAUAAUUUUCAAAUGAAAAAGAUUUGCAACAACUACAAUCAAGUCGUUUUGGAAUGUCCUUGACAAGAUAAAAUGUCCAUUGUAAAUUAUUCUUAAUUAAAUAAUUGACAAGACAUCCUAAUAUGCAAGAAAAAAAAGAAAAGAAAAAUUGCUACCACAUUCAUCUAAUGUUUUAGAUAGUAAGAUAAAAUACAGUUAAACAAACAAUAUCAAAUUUUUUUCAUUUAUAAUGUAUCAGAAUAUCAAUUACAAUAUGUCAGUAACUGUUUAUAUCAGUUUCAACUUUACAAUUUAUAACAUAUUAGUCUUUUUUUUUUCUAAGGAAUAUUUUUAAAUUCUGUUGCAGCAUCUUCAUAAUAUUUUUUUUUUCAUAUGAGUCUUUUGUGUCUUAUUAACAUUAAUUUUCUUACAAAUUUACCGUAAGGAGCUGUAAGUACAAUUACAGAACGAAUGCUUAAACCAUAUGAGUUAUAUACCAGUUUGUAUCAGCUAAUAGCAAUAUACCAAUACGUAGUCAUCAUUGUCAUCCUAAUAAUCAUAUGACUUCGGGAUGAUGGAAGUAUAUUCUUAAAUAGUGAUUAGACAAUGAAAAAAUAGAAAAAACAUUAUUAGACCUAAAUAAAAUAAUACACCACAUAUGAAAACUAACUUGAUAUACUUAUAACAUUAAGAUAUGAUUUGUAUGCAAAAUCAUCAAUUAAUAUUAUAUUUGAAGCAUUACACUCCAUGCAUAUUUCCUAAAUCCUUGUUAAAUCUUUGAACACUAUUUUUUUCUAGGUUCGCCAAGGACCCCAAUCUUUGAAAUAAUGCAUUUAUAAUUAUUUUUCAUAAUACAGUAAUACAAGUAAAGAGUUAUAAAAAAUUCUACAACUGAUAAUUUUUUAAUAUUAAAGAGGAAAUUACCUAACGAAAGAGGAAUUUAAAACCCUCUACCUCUAUUUGUGAUCUUUAAUAUUGAUCAAAGAUUUUUUUUUUUUUUAUGAUCAUAUUGCAACAAUGAACUUCGUUGAAAAAAAUUUUAAAAAAUCAUUAUAAAAUGGUCUAUGUAUCACUUCCAAUGAGCCUGAUUUAUUUUAUAAAAGCAAUCUAAUUAGAUUGCCAUCAAAAUGUAUACAUUAGCCUUACAAUUUUAAGGGAACCAAUGAACUUCUCUAUUUCUAUUGUGUAUGCAAAAGCACUCCAUUUAAUAAAAAAUGAGAAGCUUUUUAGGUAAUAUAUUACUCUCUUUCAGAUGAUAAUUCAAGGAAUCUAUUUGCCGGUUCAUUGCAAUCUUACCUAUGCAUGUAAAGCUUCACAUCAAGUUCUAUAUAUUAAAAAAAAAAACUAUCCUAGAAAAAGAAUAAUAUGGUUCUUCAAACUUACAGAAUUUGGAAAUGAAGGUUAAUAUCCCUUCCCCCAACAUUGCAUAAUCUUCAACGAAAGAGGUAUGCAAUAAUAUUACAAUCAAGUUAUUUUAGAAUGUCCUUGACAAGAUAGAAAGUUUAUUAGCAAAUAUUCUUAAUUAAAUAGUUGACAAGGCAUCCCUACACCUCCACCCUCCUUCCAAAAAAAAAAAAGUCACCACUGCAUUCAUCUAAUGUUCUUAUAUAGUAAGAUAAGUUACAAUUAAUCAAGCAAGCUUAAACUUAGUUAAUGAAAUAUCUUUUCAUUUAUAGUCUUAGUGCAAAAAUUACAGUAUAGUAGUUACUAUUCAUAUUAGUUCUGACUUUACAAUUUAUAAUAUAUGAAAAAAAAUUACUUUUUAAUCCCUAAGGUAUAGUAUAAUUAAUAGAUUUAUUCCUUCAUUUUUAGAACUCAAUACAUUUGUUCUUGAGGUUUAAUUCUGUCAAAAUUCAAGGUCCCUCCGUCAAAAUUUUUUGUUAAGUGAAUGAUUUUCACUUGGUCAAAGGAAAGUGAAUAAAUAUAAUCCCAAAAAUACCCUUAUCAAUAAUAAAAUAAAAAAAUUAUUAUUUAGUCCUUAUAGUAUGGAAAAAAACUCGCGACUUUCUCCCUCAAAUUUGAAAAAUAUAUUAAAAUAUUUUUAACAUUUUAAAAAGUCUGCUAGUUAGUUUCUCUAUUAAUUUUAUCACUAAAUAUUUUACUAUUUAGUCCCUAUAAUUUAGAAAAAAUUAUUAGUUAGUUCCUCAAAUUAUUAAAAAAUUUACUAAUUAGUCUCUCCAUAUCAGGGGUAUUUUAAUUUUUUUUUUAUAAUACUUAAUGACUAAAAUUAACGGAAAGACUAACUAGUAGACUUUUUAAAAUGUUAAAGAUGUUUUAAUAAAUUUUUUAAAUGGCGAGUAGUGAUCGACAACGAGCGACAUCACAAAAGCAAUUUCGAUUGAGUUUUAACUUUUUAUUUUUAAUAAUUUAAAUUUUAUAUAUUUUUUAUUUUUAUUAUCUUUGCUGAAUUUAAAUCUUAAAUUUAUUGAAAUUUUUAUUUAGUUAUGGAGAUUGAGUUUGAGAUUUUCUUUCUUGCAUUUUGACGAAAUUAAACUUCAGGGACUAAAGUGUUGAAUUCAAAAAAUAGAAGGAUAAAUAUGUUAAUUAUGUAAUAUUUAGGGAUGAAAACGUAUUUUUUCCUUCUAAUCUUUGAGAGAUGGACCUAUAAAUUUGUAUGAAUUAAAUUUCAGGGACUAAAGUGUUGGGUUCUAGAAAGGGUAGUUCGGUCAUUUUUCCUAUCACUAACGGCAUUUUUGAUGGAGAGACAUCUAAUUUUGACAGAAUUAAAUCUCAGGGAUGAAAGUGUUUCUAAAAAUAGAGGGACGAAUCCGUUAAUACAUCAGAGACAAAAAAUUAAUUUUUUUCAUGAUAUAUUAGUCUUUUUUUCUCCUAAAAAUUAAAACAUAUAGAUAUACACACAUUUACAUUUGCCAAAAAAAGAAAUUAUAUAUAUAUUCCUUUAAUUGUAAAUUUUGAAAUCAUCAUAUCACAGUUUUGUUUUACUUUCUUUCUUGUAUCAAAUAUUAAGUAUUAAUGAUCCAAUAAAAUAUGAAGAGAAAUCAUGCUUGUCCGAAUGUCAUAGUUUGAGUGUAUUAUCUUAAAUUGAGUGUUUAGUCCAUGAUCUGAUUGUUUUGAUAUUUGUGAUUAUUUAGAUAAAGUUUUAUGUAAAAGAUAACUAUUUUGCAUCAAUAAUCUCGUGCAUAACCUUGUUAAUUUAUUAAUGUAAAGUGUAGAUGAUCUACUUAAGAGAAAUGAAACAAUAAAAUUUUUGUUUAUAUACUAUUGAAACUUCCAAAUAGACAUUAUUUGCUUCAUUUAUGUAAAUAAACUUUUUGUAGUAAUUAAGAAUACUCAAUACCUUUUAAUGUAAAUAAAAAGAAAAAGAGAAGAGAAAUUUAACACAAUCUUCUUCGCUAUUUUGUGCCACUAGUAACUAGUGGUAUGCAUUAACCCCAUGUUUGCUUCUAUGUCAAACGGUUGCUUGAAUUAUGAGUAUGCAAAACACUUUGACUUCAUGGGUUACUUAGUAACCGGGUGCCGACAUCACCAAUGUUUUCAUUCGCGUAAAAACACAAUUAAUGACUUAAAGAAGAGUGUCUAAUAAUAAGUUUAGAAAAAAAAAAGAGAGAAGUCAA